GGAACAUACCUGCUGAUAGCAGGUUUGCCCUAGACAAUUACAAGGUAAUUUUUUAUAUUAAGCCAGUACUUUGUUUGAAGAGUUUUUUUAGGAGGCUUAAGACAGUACUCAUGCCCUUAACUACUAGCAAUUCUUAAUACCAAAACUUUAAGGUUUGCUCCUUCAGCCUCAUAAUAUGUUUAUCUCUGUGUCUGUGAGCACAUUAGGAUACUAUUGCUACUAUGGUGCUAGCGAAUAAAAUAGCAAAACAGCCGAUUUCCAUUGACCAACAUUGUUUCAACUACACUGCUAUUGAAUCAUGGCGUAAAACACUAAAACCCUUAACUGGUGUAUCAAUUAUGCUAAUGAUUAGACGUUAGUUUAUGGUUGGCAGAUGCCACACUGCAGAAUCAAUUAUUUGAAUGUAACAUAACUUUGCAGGAACUAACCUUUUCCUUAGCAGCUACUAGUUCAGUUCUUCUUUAUUAACUUUUAUCUUAAGUUUACUAAUAUGUAUUCUGUUAUGCCUUCUGAGUAUUUCAUUAUAGCUGAUCCGUUUCAUGUACCUUGGGUUUCCAGAACUUGGCAAACAGAUCCCUGGUCGAUGAGACGCUACGGAAAGUGAAUGGGUUAAAACCUAUUGCUGCUGAACUUGGUGUUUCAUUAGCUCAACUUUCAAUUGCUUGGUGUGCAUCAAACCCCAAUGUCUCUUCUGUGAUCACAGGAGCCACUAAAGAAAGCCAGGUACAUUUUGCACAACUUCUGUUCCGCAGAGAAUUUUUGCUUAGUUAGGCAAGCAUUCCUAAACAGGUAAUAUUAACCUCCGGCCCAUUGGCAACUGCAUGAACAGAUUGUGGAGAACAUGAAGGCUCUUGAAGUUAUUCCUCUGCUGACUCCGGAGGUGAUCGACAGGAUUGAGGCAGUGGUCCAAAGCAGGCCGAAACGCACCGAGUCAUACAGGUGAAGUGGUACAGACUGCAGAAUGAGUGCCAGGGAGGGAUUCGGCAUUCAUCUGAUUGAGUUUAGGCCAUGCUACCUCACCAGCGUUUGAUGUCAUGGAACUAUAUGCAUGCUUUUGUGUAUUCUCGGUGUCCCGGUCGUGGUGCUGUGUUCCAAACAUUUCCCAUGUGGUGACCACUUUGUGGUCACAGACAGCAGUUUGUCCUGUGUGUAUUCUGCAUUUCCCGGUGGCAUCUAUUCCGAUUCCUGGUAUGCCAUGUUCAGCUUGGACCAUUCCCACCGGCAUCGUUGUUGCUUCCGAAAUUUAUCGAGGACUCUAUAUGAUCCUUAACUGCUGGUUGUGCUGCAAGAUUUCUGGAGUGUGAUCCUCUGUUGUAUCAGCUCAUUCUGUUGCUUGCAGUUGCAGGAAUUUCCUGUCCAAUCUUCUGGAGGGAAAAAGGGCAGUACCGGCUCAAAGGAGAUUCUUUUCAUUCCCAUCGGCGUGCUGCUGCUGCGCCUGCAGAGGCAACGUACGGAGUAGCUUUCAGGCUGCUGUUCAAAUGUGCGAUCGCAUUUGUCCAUUCGCAAGGUAGGUUCAGAGGCACGCUCAGGCACCGCACAGCCACGAACAGCAGCAGCAUAGUGAGCUAUCAACAGCAGCCUCGAAGGAGCUUUCAAGAGGCGCGCAAAUGGCGCUUUCACUUCACAUUUUGUCUCCCCCGGUAGUUGGAAUGAGAGACCACAAUAACUUGCACAAUACUGUUCGGCGCUGCGAUUGAGAAUCGGAUACGAACGCAAAUAUGAAACAGCAGAACAGAACGGAAACAACCGACACUUUGGAUAAAAACAGUGUGGGCAAAAGAGACGGAGUAGAUGCUCAUAGCCAUGAAUGAGAAGAGCUCAAAGAAGGCGCCAAAGGGCAAUUGAAAAUAGAACAUAACACAAGAGACAGCAGAGGCUUUCACAGCUUUUACUAUUUCCACUAGACACAAGUAAUUCCCACAACUAUGCCAAGGAUACGGACUGCUCUUAUGUGAUAUCAGACACAUUUCAAGCUUCACCAGCGGUAUAGCUCUCCAGCAACAGCGCCCCAUCGGCAGUUUUCAAGCUCUGCCUCUUGUGCAAGCUGCACUUCUGUGAACGCCUUGGAAUCGUGGACCUGCAGUACAAUGAUUGGAAAUUUUGGCAUCAAAACAAGGUAGAAUCCAAGUGCAUAAAUCUUGUCUGAUUACGGUGCUAUAAAACAGUAGAUAACCAGAAUGCCUUAAACCUCCAGAUUCAACUAACUGGGAAAUACAAACAACAAUCCAUUUAACUAGAUUCCUGCCAGAUGUUUACUAUUGUUUGGGCUGAAGAAGAAAGACAAGAAUCUAACCAAGACCGUUGUUGGCAUCUGAGGUCCUCAUGAUCUUGAGCCUCUUCACUGAACCUACAAACAUCCUGAAGAGGAGAACAAUAAGCCUCUGAAAGAGCUAUUUAAAGACACUUUGAGAACAGUUAACAUUACAAUAUAGUUUUUAACUUAUUUCUAACAUAGUGUAGGGGACUUACUCCCAGGGAACAUCUCCAACGAGCAUCCAGUCCCCAUCCCGGUCCUCAUAGGUGAGCUGAUAUUCCGAUGAGCUGUCCAAUAGAUUCAGAGACUUUGCACUACCUGAUAAUGUCAUGAUCAAUUCAAAUCAGGUUCAGGAAUGAGUGCAGAAAAGGCAUUCUCAAAAGCUUAUGAAGCCACAUUUAGAAUAGUGUCACUUCUUAAGUAUAUUUUUGAGUAUACAGCCCACCAUAUAUAGACCCCAAUGCUGUAGAUCGAUGAAUUGACAAAUCAAUUGAAUAGUACUUAAGAGUUUCUGAUUCAUUGUAACAUUACCAUUUGCAAGCAAUACUACACUUCUUAGUGAUGGUUGUCAGAAAAAGAAAAAAGAGAUCGACGGCAUAUAGGUUGACGUGAUCAGAAUACACACUAGACUAUGAUAGAUAAAGUAAAGGAUCAGAGUAUGACAUACUAGAAGUGCAGAGACCGAUGGACGGCUUCAUGAACAUGAGCUCAAGUGCUGAGGCAAGGGUCUUAUAUGAGCGAUGGGCAUUGAGAUCCACCUUCCUUCCGAUAAUAUCUCCAUCCAUGUUCACCUUCACCCAACCGACGACCCGUCCUUUCUUCUCGCUCUCCUUGUCUUUCUGCAUGCCUGAUUCAUCGGCAGCCUUCUUGGUGCCAGCCUCUGAAGCAUUUUCUUUGGCCUGGUUGAAUAGGCUGUUCAUCCUGAAAGUUCUUAUGGGUGGCCAUCCCACCACUCCAAAGCUGCUACCAAAUCGGAAAAUGCAGUUCAGAUUAGUUGAAGCUGAUUUGGGCAGCUCGGCAAGGAAGGAAAUAUUCCUUGUUUCAGACAAAAUAUUAGGAUACUGUUUUCUUGUCAAGAAAAUUUUGAUGAUUGCAGAUCUGAAGGGCAAUGCAACCAACAAAAGUCUCCUUUAUAUUCUCCCUCGAGUUUUGCAGGAUGCUCAUGUUUUUUUUUUAAAAAAAAAGGAAGUUUCAAUAAUGGAAACGAUGCAAAUUAGGUAGCUUUGGCAGGAAAAAAAAUUAACUAUAGGAGUUGUGUGCAUAAACAAGAAAGAAGGUUUAUUUCUGAAGGGACGAAUUAAGUGUAAAUGCACGGUGACGCCUCCUCCUACCGUCCUACGAUCCUAACAAGAAGCAGAACAAGUAGGCACUUAUAGAGAUUCCAACUUUUUCCCUUGAAAGAGAAAGUGCAUGCUCGCAGCCGUUGUUCUGCAUAGAUGCAGAAGAGCUGUUCUUGCUGCUCACCUCUGCGGGUGGCCAGAGGCGACCGUCCCCGGCGAGGUGGUGGCGUUGGGCGCCGCAUCCGCCUUGGCCCUCUUGCUGGCCGCCGCCGCCCCUGCGGCAGGGGAGGAGGACGACACGGAGGAGUCCGGAGACAGGGCUCCCGGCUGCAGGUCCCUGGCCGUCAGGAUCCGGCACGGUGCCGGCGACGGGGUCUGCUGCUGCUGCUGCUUCUUGGAGCCUAGGCAGAGCCCCAGCUCCAGCUCGUCGUCCUCCUGCUCCUCCUCCUCCUCGCCGCCAGAGUUCUCCUCCACCUCCUCCUCCGCCGCCGCAUCCGGAGGCGGGUCGCCGGCGAUGAACGCCACCGUGGGCCCCGCUCCUCCUCGCAUCGCGCUGCUCUUGUUCUUGGCUCAGUGACUGCGGCGAUGGUGUGUGUGUGUUUUGGGAGAGACACCUCGAGAGGGAGGAAAGGAGCUGUUACUAUUAUCUGAGCUGAGCUGAGUUCUGGGUAUGCGUGCAGGGCAGUAUAGGAAGCUUUCGCCUCCUGCAAUCCUGACUCGUGGGCCCUGCAGUGCCGGGUUAGCCCCUAAUUGCUAGGAGCACCAGCGGCCACUUGUCUAAUGUACCGCUUGUUGGAUUUAUCAAGUAGUAUAUCAUUUCCAACAAUAAAUUGCUAUAUGUAUUUAGAUGUAGCUAAAGAAAAAAGUCAUAAACCGUAUUUUUCUUACGCAAAAGAUGUUAUCUGCAUAAUAGUUUUACACUCUUUUGGCACGAUAAUGAUAUCGGUAGCUUCAUUUUGGUUACAUGGACUUUUUAGUGGUCAUAUAGAAAACUCGCCAAUGCAUGGAAAAGCAUUAAAACUGAGGAGAAAUAGCGUUGGGCAUUCAGGAUGCACUAUAAAAACAAUGAUAGGCAAAAGGAUGCUUGGGGUUCAAGAGAAACUAUCAGCAAUCAUUUUAUUAGGUGUCUCGCAUAUAAGUUAUUUUUUUAGAGUUCCAGGGUAUACUCCCACUUCGAUUUCAUUGCAAAAAGGACAACAAGGAAGAUUGGAUGGUAGCACGUGCUAAUAGGUAGAGGAAUGUAUGAAAAUCGUGUCAAAAUUAGCACUUGAGAUUACAAACAGGUUACAUCACAACAUGCACGGUAGCAAGUUUCAUGUACAAGACCAGCUAAAGCUGGUCCAAGGCGCGCGUAGUGGGGGGAGGAUGAGAGGGUAGGCAAAGCAUUUCGUGGGGGGCCUCUUUUGAUCCUCGUUGCCCGUUGCGUGGUGGGGCCCCGGCGGGGUAGCUUUUGUUGGGUGUAGAAAAUGCAAAAGACAAGGGAGCGGAAAUGGGAAGAGGGACGGAGAAAAGGCCGGGAAAGCUCUCCAUCACGUGAGCCGAGCCCCCCUCACCUCACCUCACCUCAGCUCACGUGUCCAUCUGGAGCAGAGUGCAUGCUUUGUUGUGUGCUGACUUUGACUGUUGCAACAGCCAGUAGACAAGCAGGGGUGUACGUGUAGCGGAACUGGAAGAGGGAAAGCGAGCGAACCAGGGCCCCGCCCCGACAAGCCGACACGGCCCGACAGCCUUACCUCUCCUACUCGUCCCCACCACCAUUUCCGAUUUCUUUCUCUCCUCUGCCUGCCCUUAACCAUCAACCCAUUCCUACCGUCGCUGCUGCCCAACCAACCGCGUUCGUGCAUACCAGUAGUGCCAAUACACUACUAGUAGGAAAGAGAGAUUUUUUAAAAAAACAAGAGUAGGAAAUAUAUAUUUUUUAUUUAUAAAUAUAAAGGGUAGAAAGAGAUUGGUGAGUGCAAGGCUGCAAGUAGCACUCGACACCUCCGUCCGGCUCUGUGUCUCUCCGCAAGGGAGCAGGCCCACCAACCAAUAGAAAUGCAAAUGCAAAUGCAAAUGCGCCGCGAUACGCGAUGAUGGCGCCCAAGAUCCGCAUCAGGGACAUCAUGUCCUGCAUAAUCAUCCCCCUUUCUGUAAUUUGUUUAUGCACCCCAAUGUACCAAGUAUCAUUUCAAGUUCCUGCAUACCAGUAGUGCGUCACCUUUUGACCAGCAGAGAGCUAGCAGCUACCACUACUUCACUGCCAAUCUUAUAGCUGCUCAGUACUCGCAGUGACUUGACAGUGGUUUAAAACUUCAUCAAAUUUCGAAAACAUCCCCCUUGGCAGUCGAUAAGCUUCCAUGAUCCAGCUCAAUCCCCUAGCGCUAGCAGGAACAGCUUAGGUUUUAGGUUAUCUGACUUGGGUGGGUACUGAAAGGGAAACACAAUUUCCAAAUCCACCCAAGCAUUCUGGCUCAGAUCAACCCGAAUAUGAUACCAGCAAAAGAGGGGAUACAGUAUCCCAGAAGCUACAAGUAGGUGGCCACCAAACAGGAAGAAGCAUCUCAUCUUGUUGGAAUAACUGUGUGUGUAUCAGCCUAUCAGGCAAGUACAAGAGAGGGAAGAGAACUUUUGAGUACACGCCUCAAGCCACCAAAGUGGCAAACAAUACAAUGGCUACUAUUCUUCUCCGAUUUUCAUUACAGAUCUUGAUUCCUUGGUAAAAUAUACAAAUCAGAGCAAUACAAUCAAUAUCAUGUGCUGAACAAAAACAGAUCCAAAAGCACUAUGACAUAUGACAACUCCAAGGGAGGAACAUGAGACUAGAAUGUGGCUCUGGCCUGUUGCUGCUUACAGGCACCAUGAACAAGUUCCUAGCCGGCAAGGUGACUGGGAGAGCUCUUGAACAUCGUGUGCCACAUGAAAGCCCUGGAGAGGACCAUCUCAAGCUCGUGGUGCGCCCAGGUCCUUGUGGGAAGGUGCUGAAGAAACAUUACCAUUUCUUGAAAAUCCAGUUUCUGCAGUUUGUCUGACCACUGAGGGGGGAAAGGGUUUCAAACUAUCAGAAACUCGAAAUUCUGGCAAGCAUGACAGAGAUUGCUGUUGGUGUAAUAAAAACACAUAAACAUAUUUCAAAGGUGACUUACAGUUAACAAAAAGCUAGCCGAUAUGUACACAAGAAAAUCUGGCAGAUAAUCUCCUUCAGCAAGAUAUGUAUCCCAAAGGCGCGUGACAAGAUGAAAAGGUAUCUACAUGGAUAUGUGACAGGUCAGCAACCUUUUUACAUGUAUGUGAAAUACAAAAUCAAGUCAUCAAGUGUAGCAGGAACAAACCUCCCGUAUCAGGAGGCAGUUGAACCAACGGAAGGCAAAUUGAAGAAACUCUAGUCCUUGCUCUUCAAUGUGCUUGGAUACAGGUUCUGCAUACAAUGAUACAACAAAAAAUUAUGAGGUCAAGGAUAAGUGUUUUUCCAAUCAUUGACUAGGCACUUUCAAAAUGAUGUUUCUACAAGUAUAUACAUUAUUUAUCUCCACAAAAGGGCCCAGUUUCCAUUAUUCUGUCACAAUUACUUUAGCCGGAAGGGCCAUUACAUAUGGGUUGAAAAGUGAAAUUUGUCUGCCACAUCGUGGAACCAGAAGUGGCAAAACAUGAGAAUCAGUGGAACAUUACCAUCUAUACGACGAACUAGUUCCUUCAAUCUAAAAACAAGACGCUGAAUUCCUGGUUGUGCAAAGGUGUAAUGAUCCUGCAUUCCAUCAAGAAACUUCGAGAGACACCAAUAGCAGUCUGCUUCUAUGUUAGAAAUGUCCUGUGCUGAAAGAUUGUCCAUCGACCAACCGUCCAUGUUGCCCUCUAGGUGCUCUGAUAAGAACACGAUCAAGAAUGGCGUGACAAGGUCAUUUAUUCCUUGGACGUAGCCGCUUGCUGGGUGACGAAUAGCCCUGAAAACCCCACAUCAGAACAAUGGAGAUAAGCAAAUUAACACAACCCUGGUUGUAUUAAAUACGAAUGACAGCGCCAACAGUCAAAAAAUAUUAGUAAAAGUCAUGUUUGCACUAACAGAACGGGCCUGCAUGUGGAUGAUAAUUUGGACUAAAGGAACCAUGUUACUGCCAAAUCAAGAAAACAAACUUCGAAUUAAGAACAAUACAUCUAAAUGUAAAUAGAGAGUGCACUAAAUAUAGGAGACAUACUAGCACAUAGACGAAAUAUAUGAAAGUAUGAAAAGACGGAGAAGUCAUUGGUGCUGACAGAAUUGGUGUACAUGUAGGUGAGACAGAGAAUCUAUUUCAAAGGAAACAAGCAAUCAUGCUAGUGCAAAAGGAAAGUGUUCAGCAUUAAGAUCCAUACAUCAAGAUGUCAAGAUAAAGACUCAAUUCAUGCCAAGCAAACUAAAGGAAUAAAUAUAAGAGCAAGUUUAGUGCAAAAUUCAUCCAUUUAUCCAAGUUUUCCCACAGAAGAUAUAGAGUCGCAAUGGGUAAAGAAGAAUUUCACAAAUGUAGUAUUAUCCACACCGGAAACAAGCAUAUUUGCAUACAGCAGGCUGACGUCAGGAGGAAAAUAGUGCAUCAAAAUUGGAAAUAAGAUAUAUUUUUCUGUUGAUGAACCCAACACCACCACCAAAAAAGGAAGAAAGAAAGAAAACAAGCCAGCCAAGCUCACACCUUACCAUGUAUAUAAAAUGCGCUCGAGAGAUUUCUGAAUUUGAGGAUUCUGAAAAAAGGUAACAUCAGGUACAGUUCUUGGGCAGUCAACUGCAAUCUGCAGGCCAACAGGUGAUUGUAAGACAAUUGAUUUUGAGAAAAUAGGGUGAGGGAAUGAGUCGAUAAGUUAUAAGCCAAAAAAUGUUACCUGACGAAGCAUAGUAAUUUCUUCAUCUGAGCGUUCACUAUCCGGGAUAUCGUAGUAUUGAGAAACACAUUCCACAUACUCUAGUCUUUUUCUUGUUAGAACACCUUCUCGUCUAUCUUUAUUAGGUGGCGCAUAUCCCUGUAGCCAGCUAUAUUAAAUUCAAAAAUUGGAACAGAACAUUCGAAAGAAGUUCUGCGAUCUUUACGUGAAGCAUGUCUACUCACCAAAAGAAGCCUCCAUACAUUAGGCCGCAUAUAUGGGGGGACACCGCUCCAAGAUAAUUCACGCAAUUUAUCUACAUAAUGGAGGAUAGAUUGCAGCUGUCAGCUGAACUCUAGAUAAUCUUGAAGAACCAAAAUAUAUUAAAUUUUAAAGUUUUUUCAAAGAAAAAAAAGCCCAAAAUAGGCUUUAUGAUUUAUCAACUCUGACCUGAGAUAGAAAGAACGAGGGGGCAGAAAAAAAGUAGAUAAAAGGCAGCAAGGAUUACACACACAUACAAAAAAAAAGAUGGCCACACUAUGACUUCUUAGUUUGUGGGUAUAAGAAGAAUCAGAUACUCUGAAAUGCUAGUUUUCAUUGUAUUGGAAGUAACUUUAUAUCAUCAACAAAAGCAAGCUUAAUCGAUAAACUGAAGCGAAAAACAUAGCUUCUGUAAAAUACAAGGAAUAACCACUUAUCAGAUUAUCAUUGUACAUAACUUUUAGUAUUUUUUUAUCUUUGUCUUCCUAAACACAAUAAUGCAAAAGCAUCCAAAUAGAAAAAACUAGAGGUGAUCAGCCAUGCCUAAUAUAAGAAAAUUACUGUAAUGUUUACUUCUGAGAUCAAACUAAUUCCCGCAAAAAUGGUGAUGAAUUCAAAAUAAUAUAGUACAAAGAAUAAUCUGCAUACCUAAUAUAACAGCUGGCCUAGAGAGUUCCUUUGUGAACUUAUCAAUUCUUGCAGAAUCUGUAGCUCUAGCCCCAGAAACUAGCCCUUGGGCAUCUGGUAAUGAAUUUGAGCUACUUGUUGACAGAGGAUUUGAUUUCUUUGCACUUGCAUUGUCAAAUGAGUUUCCAGAUGCUUGGCCUUCUCCCUGCACAAUGUCAACUCCAUCAGUUACAAUACAUCUUCUUUGCAUGUCAAAAACAGUCAAACUACUAGCAUAUUACCUCCUGUGAACCUUCCUUGCGCUCAUCUUCAUCAUGCUCAUUCUCAAAGCGUGGAGAAUAAUCAGGAGGGGAAAGAGGCUCAGAUCGCCGAGUUAGCAAAACCUUCCCAGGAAAGCUACGUCCUUUGAGCAUUCUGACAGAGUGUGGCAAAACGACCAAAAAUCGUUUGUAAUGAUACAAGAACAUAGGGCAUACAGUGCCUAGCAACUGUAACAAAUAUGUCUAAUGAGAACACUGAGUAUAGGUUACAAAAGUGCCAUUUGGUUACUUUUGGGUCACAGAGUUCUCAAAUUGAAUACCCGUGGUAUAUAGAUAAAGAGACAGAUCAAGAGCAUUUCUUCGGGAUAUGCAGCCUAGGGACUUAACUAGUGUACUGACACUGAGAAAAGCUAUAGCCGUAUGCACGAGUCUCAUUUCGCAGGAUUCAGAUCGAUGAUGGAGAAAGGCUCGCGCGAGGGAGGAAAGACCCGGCUUACCCUUGCACGUUGCGGAGCGUCUGGUUGAAGCGCCACUCCGUGUUGUUGGGGCUCCCGCCGGCACCGCCGCCGACUCCUCCGCCGCUGCCGCUCAUCGCCGCCGGUCCGGGGCUGCCUGACUCAGGCAAGGCAACCGAGCUCAGGCCCAGGCGCAGGGAAUCGGAAGCCUGAGCUUGUUGCGCACUCUCUUCACGCAAGCCCGCAAAGCAUCGCCGAGAUCCACGGCGUUGCCGCCCGUGCACUCGCCGCUGCUGCGCCUGCCGCCUGCCUGGCUGGCUGGCCGCCGUCCGCUCGAUCUGCUGCGAAGCAACCGGUUCGGUCACCGAUCUAUGGUGUGGAGAGGAAGCAGAAGGAAUUGGGGAUCCAUGGGAAUGCAACUGAAAGCGCCUUGCCAGGAAUCUUCACAUCGCAGCAACGAAAGCGUAAUUUAUGCUUUACGCCUCUCGCGUUCAUUACAGUACGUGGUUAGCUUUGGGGCACGCGGAGAAUUUUGUUAUCUGGCUAUGUAUCCACUAAGCCCAUUCUCAAUGCCAUGUUUCAUAAUAAUUAUAUAGAAAUAGUGCCACAUAAAUAAAAAUAUAUUUAGUUCAUGGAUGAAAUAACUCACAUAGUGUAUAGUUUCAUCUUUUAUUAUUUUCGAAGCUACAUGCAAGAUACAAAAUCUUGAAAAUAGUGUACACAUGGUUUCAUCCCCGUGAAACCACUUUCUCCUCUCACUUCAUAAAUAGUGUACCAUGAGAUCAAAAUUAGCUAUGUAACAGCUUAUUUAUUAUCCAUGAAACCCGCAUUGAGAAUGGCCUAAGAGGCUUCAAGUACAUGAGACUAGGAAAUAGAAUCUACAAAUAAAUUAUUGAUAAUUAUAUCGUAUUGUAGAGUUAAUCUAUCUCUUCUCAGUUCAAAACUAACGUUAUGUUUAGAUCUCCGACACCAAACCUUCAUGUGGCAUACUCCUCUCAUGUGAAGCUCAACUCUAGAAAUGAUGUCCGCCACUUUUCUCUCACCAUGUCAUCUACUCCGGAUGCCAGGAUCCUCAAGGAUCUACUGAUAGUAAAGAGCCUAGCUCCAAACCAGCUAGCCGCGCAUCAGCGGUUUAAUCAAAUUUAUGUGAGGAUUUUUCUUAAUGAUUAUAAAAAAAUAUUUUGAGAAUACGUAGGAGAGCUACGUGUCAUUGCAUUACAAAGAUAAUUGAAAGUUUUUAACAUGGGCCAUUCACCGGGCGCACGCACACGUGUUACAACAAACUUACGCGACUAUACGGCAAAAGAAAACAACCCGAGCUAAGGCCUAUCCUGUCCAGUCCCAGUUGCUGAUGCCGUUGGCCAACCAAUGGUGACCAGGUGUGUUGCCCCGGCUUGUAUCCAUAGUUGGCCUUCCUCCAAGAUCAGAGCUGCAACCUGAGCUGCUGAGUUCUCCGGCUGGCUUCUCCUUCCAGAGCCUCCAAGACGGAAGCAUGAAGGCUGAAUCCAGACCUCUCCUUUGCAAUUUGUUUAGUCCUGCUCUUUUCUCCAGCCACCAAUCAACUGUUUGCAUAUCUUGAGAUGGAGUCUGAUUGAUCAGUCCAAGGGAUAAGCUGAUGCAGUGCCACACUUGUUGGGUGAAUGAGCAGGAACAAAACAGAUGAAUUCUAAAGGCUGAAUGACUGUAAAAAAUAGUUGCAUAUCUUUGCAUGAAGGCUGAAUGAUUAUAAAAAAUAGUUCAGAACAAAAAAAACGAGACGAAUUCACCAUUUUUUUUUCUUUUCGAAAAGCAUUCUACGACCAUUUUUAGUCCAAAAAAGUACUUUGUCUGCUAGCUAACCAGUAGUACUUUGCAGCUUUGGACCGAUCAAAAUUUACGGUAAAUGACGGGGCCAUGUCAGGAAUGGUCUAUCUUUCCAAAUAUACUGGAGCAUCACCUGUAAUCUGUAUUCCCAGAAUCCGGUACCAGUUCAUUCAGAAUCUGGAUCGAUAAAGCAUGCAUAUAAUAAACAGAUCGGCAAUUCCCAAUCAGCCUGGUUAACAAAGGUGCUAUUUUAUCCUUUUGGUCCAAGUACAGAAGGCAUGAGGAGGAAUUCAUUUGUCUCUUCAGAUCCGGGAAAUAAGCCAAUAACAGAACAAGCUCAGAACAUUGAGCUUUUUGGUCACAACACCCUUCUCUCUCUCUCGUUUUCAUCAAAGGGUGGCUACAACAGGAUACUGUAUGAUGCCCUUUUAUUCUCGUAUUGUAGUGUCUGUGAAAAAACAUACGGAUUUUUUAGUACUAACAUAGCAGGCUUAAUUCUUGACAAUGUUUCUGCAAUUCUACUUGGCGUCCCUAGAUAGAAAAUUGUGUGACUGGAUGUCCCGAACGUUGGAGAGUUCAUCCACCGUGUCUCCCCGCUCAAACACAGCUGCUGCGCCCAUCCCAGAUCCUGCAAUCGACACAAAGCAAUAUGGUCAAAUUACAUUUACGCGUUACGCAUCCUUUUGCCUUUGCAAAUGCAAAUGCAAGUAUCUAACAACGAGCAUGAUGGAGAUAAUAAAUCUAACCGAUGCACAUGGUGACGACACCAAAUCUGCAGUCUCUGCCUCGGCGCUUCAUUUCGUUCAGAAGAGUAGCCACACACCGUGCACCUGAACAACAAAAAGAAACCACUAGCUUAGAUGACUUUGCUCAGACGACCUGGUAACAGGUACCACAAUGGCAGUGGUACUCUAUUUUCCUGACAAUCUCGCAUACAAGUAUAAUUCAGUUACCUGUUGCACCCAGAGGGUGUCCCAUGGCAAUCGCGCCUCCAUUCACAUUUACUUUGGAUCGGUCCAAUCCCAGCUUGUUGCAGCAAUAGACAAAUUGAGAGGCAAAUGCCUGCAAGUGGAUGACUUGGUAAUCAGCUGUUGUUAAUAGAUGACAGAAAAGCUGUGGAAUAUGACAAAUAAACAGACCUCAUUCAGUUCAAAGAGAUCAAUGUCUUCAAUCUCAAGGCCAGCAGACUUCACUGCAGCAGGAAUGGCUACAGCAGGACCAACACCCAUUACAGCUGGAUCCACUCCGACAGCAGCAAAGCUCCUAAUAGAUUAUGUCAAGAAACAUUUUAGUCUAAGAAUGAACUGAGGAUAGUAUAUGUCAAAACAAUGAUGGUAAACACAAUGUGAACUAAUGAAGAUGUUGUAUGUAUAUAUGUAAAGGCACAUAAAGUACCUGAAAACACCGAGAAUAGGAAGCCCUUUCUUCAAAGCUACAGAUCUCUUCAUGAGAAGAACAGCUCCAGCACCAUCACUCACUUGACUAGAAUUGCCUACACAGUUUGAAUGAUUUAUCAGAUGAUGUUUCAGCAGUGAGUGAAAAAAAACCCCAGGAUGCAGGGGAGUGUCAAUGAAAAUAGUUGUCUUCUGCAGCACCUGCAGUUGUAGUCCCAUCCUUUUUGAAAACUGGUUUAAGCUUCGCCAAUCCAGAUGCUGUGGUCCCUGGCCUAAUUCCAUCAUCAACUGAUAUCACAACUUUCUUCUCCUCUCCAGUUUUAGGAUCAACGAUCUGCACAGUAUGAACAGUGUCAGUAUAAUAAUAACCACUAAAAAAUUCAUGUUCUUUUCCUAGAAAACUAGACUGAAAAAUUGGUCGGACAACAAGCAUAUUAGUUCCACAGUAGGGGCCUCCCAAAAAAAACAAGCAUAUUAGUUACUGCUAAGGUGAUGCAGUUAAAACUAGGUUAAGCUGUUGCUAGUUUCUACUGGAAAGGGGGCUGUGGCCAGAAGAAGCAUAUUAGUUUCAAUGCCUCCUACCUUUGUUGGCACUGGGACAAUCUCAUCCUUAAAUUUUCCAGAAGCCGUGGCUGCAGCAGCUCUCCUAUGAGACUCAGCCUGAUAAAAUAUGAAGCUUUGAUUUCCAUCUUAAUCGAAAGAAAGAAAUGAUAAAAUUAAAACAGUUUGUGCCUAAGGAACUCACAGCAGCCUGAUCUUGCUCUUGCCUGGUGACACCAUAUCGAUGAGCAACAUUUUCAGAAGUAAUUCCCAUGGGCAGAAGACAAUCCUGUGCUUUCUGGAAUGCACUUAUCUGCAGAGAAGAAUGUGUCAUAGAAAUAAAAAGAAUAUCAGUAUCAAUGUACAGUGUGAUUUAUAAUCCAUACCCUGGGGUUUACUUGUCCUUCCCAACCAAUGGAAUUUAUCGACAUGGAUUCCAGACCAGCACCAAUCCCUGUUUGGAGGGAAAACAGUAAUUCAGCACACAAACUAAACCACAGCAGCAAGACUAGCAUGGUAUUCAGCAUGCUGCAAUUACCUAUGUCAUAGAAACCAGCCUUUAUAGCAGCGGCGACAUCAGCUACUGCCUGUAACCCAGAUGAGCAUUGCCGGUUGACAGUUCUAACAGGAACAGUUUCUACAGAAAUAAAAUGGGAUAGUCAAAUUUUGUCCAGAAGAUAGAAUCCUCUUCUUCAAAUGAUAGCACCACGAUUGCUAACAUAGGGGUUUACCAGGGAAUCCAGCAUAGAAAGCAGCCAUCCUGCACUCAUUUGCACGCUGCGAACCUGGACCUAGAACCGUCCCAACCACAAUGUCACCAAUGUCACCAGGAUUGAUUUUAGUGUUGUCCAGAACAGCCUACAGGUGCAAAACGAAAGUAACAGAACAUGAAUAAUGAGCGCGUGAAAACUUUUUGUUUAAGCACACAGCCAACCAAUUGUAACGAAAACUCUUAUGUUUCAGCACAGCCAGCCAGUUGUUGCGAAAACUAGCAGAUUAAUAAUAAGAUAACAGAAGCAAACCUUGAGAACAACGGUAAGGAGGUCCUCUGGGUACGUGUCCUUGAAACCUCCUCGCUUGGCCUUGCAAAUCGGCGUCCGGUAUGCGCUGCAGUGAGACAGCACGGAAGGAAGAGGUAUAGUAUCCAUCAACCGUACAUGUGCAGCAUACUGAUUGAUAUGAAAAGGACCAAAGCAGCAAAGCCUUGCAAUCAAGGUUGCUAACUGUUCUAUUUUGAACAUUUUGGAUUCGUCUUUUUGUGCAUAGUGUUAUCCUUAUCUUACUUAUUCCUGUAAAUUAGUUGACUGAUUACGCAUUCUCGUUGCUAAGUAGCAGUACAAGGUCAGUGACUCAGUGGGGUGGAUGUUCAGUAUCAUCACUGUGUCAUGGCUGUCUAUAUCCACCAUGUAAAUAUACUAAAAAAGAUAGAGUCCAUCGAUACGAUCUGGUGGGGCGCGGUAACAAUUCCAAUUUCUAUCAGUUUAUCUAGGUAGCGCAGGCAGCAUGUUAAAGAGGUUUCCUAAACAACUAAAAUAGGAGCACUCCCUACGAAAGAGUGGGGGGAAGGGGAAAAAAGCGGUAAGAGGAAGGCUUACGCGACGACGACGACAUCGUCUCCGAAGGAGGAGGUCCUCUGGUACGCGGCGCUGUCCCCGGCCGCACACUCCGACGCCUGAACACCGAACGCCCGCCGCCACCGGCACGCAGCAAGAAAUCGAUCAGCCAACCCACACAAGAGAGAUGAACCAGAACCAACCCAACCAGGAGAUCAGGAGCUCACCGCUAGCUGCGGCUGCGAGGAGGGCGAGGAAGAGGAGGGGAGGAGGUGGGCGAGGAGGACCCGCUGCCGAUCGAUCGCCUUCUCCAUGGCCGGCUGGUUUGCUCGGUGCCGCGCGCGCGCGCGUUGGGGUUAUCGGAAGGGAAUUAAUGAGAGGAAGGGGAGGCGGAAGCGAGGUGGUUGCGGAUUUGCUUGGCUUCCUCUUAUGGCGCGGCGCCGGCACGUAGCGAGUCAGGAAAGCACGCAGCCCAAGCAAGAUGGCGACCCGUGUUUAUCCAGCGUACGGCAACGGCAUGGGCACGGAUUGGGAUCAGGAAAUCAGGAUCACACCAGGCCAUGCCCGCCAGAGAAGAUACUUGCGAAGCUUUUGCUUGCACGUUUAUGAUUUCUCUGCCUUUUUGGUCAACUUGUGCAUUAUGCCCAAAAAAUUUGCAUUUCCAUUUUUGCGAAUUUUUUGCAUCUUCUGGGAGUUGCCUCUUAGGACAAAGAAACUGCGUGUUUGUCCUUAAGCCUGAUUUUUUUUAUUGAUCCAUCAGCUCUUUUUUUUUUCAGGUCACUGAUUUGUAACAUUCUAGAUAUUUAGUCGGUGUAACUGUGACCACAAAUUUUUGUUAAUAAGUUAUCUCUAGCUCUGUUUCACAAUGUUAGUCUGGUUCUUAUACUCCCUCCGUAUAGGAAAAGGAAUUCGUUUUGGACAAGGUUUGGGUCAAACAUUGGGAAUAUAAAUCAUGAAUAACUUUUAAGUUGUUGAGUUUGGAAAUAUGAAAGCUAUAUAAAUAGAUUUGUCUUGAAAAAUACUUUCAUAAAAAUAUACAUAUAUCACUUUUUGAUAAAUAUUUUAUAAAAAUAAGGAGUCAAAGUAAUGCUUUGGAGACCGUGUCGCUGUCCAAAACGACUUCCUUUUCCUAUACGGAGGGAGUACUUGAGAGGACCGAUAGCUAAAUAAUUUGUUUAUGAAAUCAUAUCGUUCUUAGUCUCAUUGGAUGAUUAACUAUUGAUCUAUCAAAUCAAUACAAAUUCAACAUAGUUUCAUCGCUGCCUAGCCCGGUGGCCAGGGGAACGGGGAAAGGGUUGAUAUUAUCCUCGUUCUUUGGAAGAUCUGGCUAGAGAAAUCGGAGGGUCUUCCAACAUAAAGAUAAUACGGUUACCCAGAUAACCGACGGCAUCAAGAACCAAGCUGUCGCUGUGGGAGUUAAAUACUUGGAGGACCUUCUCUCAGGAUAGGCAUCCGUUUUGUACUUAGUUGUUAUAGCGGAGUUAUGCCUUCCCGUUUUUGGGAUGCGAGUGUACAGCUUGUAUAGUAUGUUUGUAUACAGUUCGUCAAAUUUUUCCUCUCUUUUAAUAUAGCAGCAGCUCUCCUGCUGGCUCGGUUUUAAAAAAACAUAGUUUCAUUAAAUUUUAAUCAAAUACUAUAACGUCUAGGUAUGCCGACCAGACAAGCAUAGUAAGUUUCGUUACCGUCUUCAUGUUCUCCAGCCGUCACGUCAUUUGUUAGAAAAAGAGAACGGUUCCUGCCGAUUUCUUUUGGGUCUACUUGAAACAUUAUUGGAAAAGGCGGUGCCAUGGCAUGAACCAACGUAUAAUCUUUAUUUGUACCUGGAAAUAGCCGUAUGCCCCCUGAAAUAUGUGGAGGAUAUGCAUGUGUGGACAUUCUAAUGUCCGCAUGGAACGGAACGUGCCGUGACUCAUGAAUUUGUCGGGCUCCACACACCUGGCGUCACCACUGACGCAGGCUUUGGUCGGUCCGGACAAGUGCCCCUAACGGCCUGCCAACUUGUUUUAUUUUGCUCCAUUAUGCAUGUUGGGCUCCGUACCGGCCCACUAUACUGUUGCACGGCCCAUGCAUAUGCCGACUAAGCAGCAAGCCUGUAUUUCCCUUAGCCCGGCAGAGGCCCAUCGAACAUUGAGGGCGCGUUUGGAUGAGUGUGCCUGCGACAGCCAUACCAAAAUUUGGUCGUUUUUUUAAUUAAGGUUGGCUCUUUUAGUUAAGUCACAAUUUCAGAGUACACAAUUUCCUGUAUGCAACCAGGGAUACAAUGUGGAAAGAUCGUAUAAGCACAGAGCUCACCCGAUCGAGCCAGUACAUGAGCCAGCUUAUUAGCACUACGACUUAUAUGAACAAAAGACACAAAAAAAAAUUACAUGUCAGUGGUUUGGUAUCAGCUACUAUCUCUAGCAGGUGCAUUUAUCUUCAAAGUCAAGGUAAGGCAAUCGGAUUGCAAUAUCACAUUGCGGAAACCUUCUUCGAGGGCAAGAACAACAGCACAACGCAGAACAAGAGCCUCUGCAACAUCUGGUGAGGUGAUGCUACUAAAAGACUUACGACAAGCCAUCAGACAAAUACCCAAAUGAUUUCGAAACCAAUGGCCGAACUCGAAGAGGAGGUAAAGAUUGUUGCAUCAACAUUAACACAAACCAAAUCAGGCGGCGGUGGAGCCCACUUCAUGACAUCCUUUGGGGGUGCACACCUAAGUGGCUGAAUCGGUUUCAGACGAUGCAUAACAAUUGUCGUUGGACAAACUUUUGCAGCAGAAUUUCUCACUUCAUUUCGGGCUUCCCAAAUAUGCCAACACACUACAGCAACCACUAUUGCUUGUAUUUCAUUGCAUCUGUCCAGGAGAUCAAACAACCAUUUAUUUGCAUUUAUCAAAUGUUUCCUACCAAGAUCAAUAUCAAACUGAUGUUUCACUCCUUUCGAGAUAGAGGAAGCAAACUGACACAUCGCAAAAAAAAAAAUUAAACUGAAGGCCCGGCCGAGUUUGUAUUAAUUAAUAGAGAAGGUAAUAUAAGACUAUAGUCCGGGGAGGCUAUAGGCAGAAAAAAGAAAAGAAAAAAAAACAAAGAAAGGGUUGCUCAGUUGGAUUGGUACGUCAAUACGGGUAACCAGUCCACUCGCCGCAGCAGCAAAACCGGAGUCUUUAUAAAAUUCGUGGCACCCACCAACAAUCACCCUCAUAUAGUCGUCGAAACCUUCAUGGGUAGCCCUGCAUCGACAGGGAACCUGACGGAAGCAGACUGCACCUAACCGAGGAGGUCACCGCCAUGCGGGACCCUCCACCAAAAUACCGCUGCAGACACUAUACUCCACCUGACAGAGUGAUACCACCGAAUCCGGACCUCUCGCAGGCUGCCUCACAGCGCGCCGGGGUCUAGCCACAUCCGUCGUUGGACUCCAUCUCGCUCUCACCACACACGGGGGCACAUUGCAAAUCAAUGUUCUACUUUUCAGUUUUGCCACAGAAACAACAAUCAGGCAUAACAAAUACAUUGCGCCUCUGCAGCUGGUAACCUGUAGCAAGACAAUCAUGUGCUAUACGCCAAAGUAUAAUUUUCAUUUUACUUGGAACCUUCACAGACCAAAGUUUCUUCCACUGUUUUGCUACACACAUGGAAUCUGACACCGUUCCAGUUCCAGAACGACCUCUUGAUUCAAGGAAGGAUAAGGAACGUGCCAAAUUAUAGGCAGACUUUACUGAAUAAGUACCGCUCUUAGUAUGAGUUCAUGUAGCAAAAUCUUCAAAGUCACUUCUGCCAUUACACAACCCUUUAAUUCAUCUUCCUCCUCUUUUUUCUUCAACAAGCAUGAAAGACCUUCGGUACAUAAGAUAAACUAAUAUGGGCUAAUUGGGUCUCCUUGCCUAAUGCCUCUGGUUGGAACAACCGGGUCAGUAAGUUCUCCAUUUACAUUUACUGCAUAACGAACCUCCGUGACACAUCUCAUGACUAUAUCUAUCCACGAAGGAGCAAUUCUGUAAGCAACCUCGAAGGUAAGGUCACCCCGCUCUGUCAUAAGCCUUCAUCAUAUCAAUUUUUUAUGGCAAAGUAUGGCUUUAUGGUAAAGUAUGGCUACUUAGAGAGUUGUUACCUGAUAGUAUGCAAGCACUCAUACGCAAUUAGAGCAUUGUCAGUGAUAAGCCAUCCCGGAACAAAAUUUGAUCGUUGACCACGUGCAAGGUUCGCGCUUGGAUACCAACCAAUUUUUGGCGUGCUUUGGCCAGCCUUCCCAUCCGUAGUUCAUUUUUGAACCCUGCGUCGGGCCGAUUCCUAGGCAGCUAAAUCGGUCGCCAAUAUUUGGCUGGCCGAUGAGUCUGAUUGGUUGCUUGCCAAAACUUAGGCAUGCAAAACUUGCCAAUAUUUUGGUAAGAUAAAUAGGAGAAGUUGUCAAAUUUUAGUAACAAACCAAACGGUGAUAAAAAAUUUGACUUGCCAAAACUCUAACAUACCAAAAUUUUAGCAACAAACGAAUCAGACUCGAUAUCUUUGUUAGGGCAGACGGCGGCAGCAAACCAAACCUACUUGAAGGACGCGUGCAGGUGGGGAGUAAUUUGUAUGAAACCCAUUCAAUCCUGACGUAUUUUGAAAAAUAUCUGUACACGGACAGCAAAUAACCCCACUACAGAUUACUCGUACUUGAAAGCAGCUAUCACUGGCAUUACCAAUUGCUACAGCACAGCACCAAAACAAAAAUCCGCUGUAGCAGCAAAAAACAUUGCGCGCACCAAAACCAGUGGACGAUCAUCACUACCACUGCUGCCCGCGGCUUCCAUCGAAACCGUGAGCUCGCCGGAGCAAGGAAGUGCAACACUAGUUACCAAAACAAGAGGCCAACCGUACUGGACAAAUUCACAGGCCAUUGGCCACGAAACUGGAGGAAGAAAAAUUCAGCAACUUCGAAUUCAUCAACAGGCCAUUGUACCAAGACGUCAGGUAUCCAGAGGCACUCAGUCACCUUAUCCACUGCCACGUGACCGGGGCCCACGGGAUCUCGGCAGCCAGUCACAGCGCGCCACGUCGGCCGUCCCGUCCCUGUACAAGAACCCAUCAUUGGAGCCUUGGAGGGGAAGCCCAAAUUCCAGCAGGCGGCCCGUCCAAAUUCCACGUCAAUCCACAUCCGAAACGGGGGCAGAUUCAGAGCAACGACAGACUGAAAACCAGCCUCCUUCACCCAAUGCAGCUUUUGCUGGUGUCGCCCUCAGAGUUGGGCACAUAUCCAGAUCCAACUCUUGCUUGUCCCACCGAUAACUUGGUAAUUCAAUUUUAAUUCAGCUCACUGCAAGUCACAGCUGCUCACUCUGGGCAUAUCAGUCACCUUUGGUUACUCCAAGUAUCAACCUGCAGUACCGUAGAUGGUAAUCCUAAUUGAAAAGCAGGGGCAUCCAGUCAAAAGUCCAUCAGUAGUAUCCGUCAGCAGUACCAGUCACUGGUGGAUGGUGGGGCCAGGCCUUCCAUGCAUUCCUAUCCACCUCAGCUCCCUGACUUGUCGUUUUAUAAAUCCCCCCCUCCCCUGCAAGGAUCUGCAGAAGAACAUACAGAAACCAGUGAGCCACCCACCAAAGAGUGAUCGCCAAUAGUUUCCUUCCAUCCAUGGCAUGCAUCAACACCCUCCAGAGUUGCUCCAUUGCCAGAGGGGCAAAAAUCAACACAGGAACUAGGAGAAGUGCUGCAAAGCGAUCACCAACCUUUCAGUGCAGAGCGUCGACUUUCGUUGACGCCAGCGUCCGGCUUGAGCUUGACGAGAACCCUGAGGCGAUCAUCUCAGGCGAGUGGCCUGAGAACUCCUUCCUUCUCAGCUACGAUGAUCUCCGUGCCUACCUUGAGUCACAGGAGGCUGUCCAAGAAGGAGAUCAGGUACUUGAUCUGGAACUCUUAAAGCUGUCAUUGUUAUCUGUCUUGAUCUCCUUCAGCUCUAGCUGAACUCUGAGCGGUGAAUACAGCGCGUGGCUCUCUUGAGUGAGACCAUGUCAACACCUGUGCUAGUGGCCACAGCAGAGCAGACACUAGAGGAGGUCGAAUGCCACUUUGAGGCCGUGUCAGGGCUUCCAGUCGUAGACAGCAGCCUCAGAUGUGUUGGGGUAGUCGUCAAGAAUGACCGGGCCAAAGCUUCCCAUGGGGUCAGCUCUCCCUUCCCCUCUUUCUCACUCUCUCUCACACAACUUGGGCGCGAGCACACACAUAACAAGUUGCUAGUUUCAUACAAGAGCGAAGGAGAAAAUCCAUUCUGUCUACUGAUCUAUUGCUGCUUGUAACAGCCAAAAACAAAGAUUGAAGAAGUAAUGACCUCUCCAGCCAUCACACUAGCAUCAGAUAAAACAGUGAUGGGUAAUUGUUGUUUUCAUAUCACCUUUUUCUUUCCACGUAUGCUUUAAGUUAGAUCUAAGAGUACAUGUGUAACAUCUACAGAUGCUGCGGUUCUGAUGCUCAAGAAGAAGAUCCACAGAGUACCAAUUGUAAAUCAGGAUGAACAAGUAAUAGGUGAGUUUCAGAAUGGCGAACAGUUAAGAGACAAAAGGACUGCAUGUAUGCAUACUUGAUUUGUAUUAUCCUUAACAUUGGUAACUUUGCAAGCUUAAUGGGUUCGACACACUAUCAACAGGUAUAAUUACCCGUGCUGAUGUUCUUCGCGAGUUGGAAGGCCUGCUGAAGAUUUAGAAGGGCAGCAGUCCAUGCUCGGUUCUUGUAAAUAUGUCCAUGGUGCUUUUGAGUGGCAGCAAGCAGAUCUACAAUCAGUAGGAGUGCGCUCCAGAAUCGGCAGAAAUAAGCCCGGAAGAGUUUGAGAUCUUUUCCUUGUAAAAGUACCACACCAGGAAACUUACUCUCUGUGUUGCACUGCUUGCGCUACCAAAUGUUGCAAACUAGUCAAAUAUUUCCAGAGCAAUAUAAAUAGAUAUGCUUAAAAUAAUCUUUCAGUAGAAAUAUGCCAACGAUGGAAGAGAAGUGAGAAAAAUGUGAGUUAAUGCACAUGCCAAGUCAAAAAUACUUCAGAGAAAUAAGUAACUGAAUCUGAGGAGGAUUAAAAGAACAUACUCAUUCUGUAUGCCAGUCCAGUUUGAAACUGCAUAAAUCAGGAGAGUUCCCUUUGAUCUUCUCCGGAAGCAACAGCAGCAGCACUAACAACCAUUGGAGUAGAACGUGUGGGUUUUUGUGAAUCAGAAACAACUUUCAUCUCCAGGUUUGGAAUUACUGGUGGCUUUGUCCUCCGAGUAACAGUCAUUUUCAACCCCUCAGUUGUGUGAAUUGUUGCUCCAGUUGUCAUGUCAACCUAUCAUAUUGAUCAUAAAUAAUGGAUACAGUAUUAACUAUAACGAAUCAGAAACUGGUAGAGGCAUACCGGAGGUGCUCCUGGAGCCAUCUGAAAGUCAAAUCGCUUGACAAGCAUUGCUGUUGCCACCACAUUCUGCAAUGACCCAGUAUGCCUAUGUUAUUUUGAGUUCAAUGUCGUGCAAGCUCUACUGUGAUCAUUCUGUUGCUAAUAUAAUGAAAUGAGAUAUUGGGCUUGAAAAAGCUUGAAAUAAAGAAAGAAACCAGGUAUGAAAAUCUAAAAAAAGUUACCUCAAAAGUGGCAAACAUGUCACCAGCACAUUUCCUUGGUCCACCACCAAAUGGUAAGUAACUGAAAAUCCAAGAGAUUGCGUGAAUCCCACAGUGAUUAAACCAAUCCUCAGGCAUUAAUCAACAUGGUGGUAGGCAACAGGUAUAAUCAGCCACUAAAAGGAAAUAUACGCUCUUAAAAGGAAAUUUAAGUAUUCCCACCCUGUUGCCCUAAGCUAAUAAAAUAGUGACACAGAAUCUCAAUCAACAGGCCAUUGUACGUGCUUUCACGCCCAUCGUGUAGUGGUUGCUCUUGCAACGAUAGGUUCAGAUCAACUCGGUCCAUGCACUUGGUUAGCACUGUCGUUUCGUGCUGUCGCAGAACAGAAUCGAUGUGCGGGUGGAAGGUUUAAACUGCUUGCCUGAAGCGAAUGAGUCACAUCCUGGUUUGCCUGUCAUUUCCGAUUAUCUCAUGAAAUUGAGUCACAUCCUGGUUUGCCUGUCAUUUCCGAUUAUCUCAUGAAAUUGCUCUAUCUCUGUCCCAUUUGUUCUACUACCAUUGAAUCGUUGUGUUCUGGUCACCAUCGCUGUUGAUCUGCUUGCGUUACGUGAUGAUUAUUUAUUCCCAAAACGCAUGGCAUGUGUUUUCCAGUUCCAUACCGUUGCUUGUAGAUCAUUGCUGAACUUGUGUUUUCCAGUUCUGCACCUCUGCUUGUAUGAAGUUGCAGUGAAUAUUUUGAACUUCCUGCAUGAAGUGAGUGGGUGGGAUGACUUAUUCUGAUGUGCUUGUGCCUUCUGGUUUAACUCAUGAAUUAUUCCAUUUAUGUCCAACGAGUUGUAUUCUGGAAUUGAACAAGGUGUUCUAGCCAGUACUCUUGCUCUGCUUUCAUGAAGCUAAUAUAAAAUACUGAAAUGCAUGCCUUGUGGGUUCAAAUCUUACCCACUUGGUUGUACGAUGUAGCAUGACUGCAUGAUCACUCUUAUCUCUAUGGUGAUCUGUUGUGCAUGGACAUUCUGUCCUAAAUUGAAUGUUGUGUUUGUUCUCAGUUGAAUAAUAGGAAGGUUGAUCGAUGCCUGUCUCUAGCAUUCUGGUACCAACUUGGGAGUGUAAAAGAAAAGGUUCUCUCUAAUUUUUUGCAACUAAAGUUUCUGUGGAACUAAAUCUUACCUUAAUUAUAACCAUGUAAUGGAUAUGAUCUUAUCUUGCUCUUAAGUUUGAGUAUAAUUCAGCUUCAGACUGCUUUGGCUUCCAGAUUUAAAUGAACAAGGGAAUAGCAGUUCAUUCUCUGAAUAAGUUCUGCGUGUUUCAGUGCAUGAGUUGGCAACAAGUCACGAUACUACAUAAAUUGCUCCAUUGUGCUGUUUAGCAUAAUUUUGUCAUAGUAAGAUGGGUAACUGGAUACAACAAUUCCAUGCAGAAGGACACAACUAAUUCAGUCUUCUCUUUCUUCUAUGUUUUGGAUACAGAAACAUACAGUUUCUUCUCCUAUUUUCCACCCUUUUGAAUUCAUAUAUUGUAUGACUGAUAUUUGCAGUGAGCAAAUCGUCAUCUCUUUUUUUCUAGAAUACGCAGGAGAACUGCGUAUCAUUCCAUUAAGAAGAGAAUGAAAACGUUUUUUUACAACGCGGGCCAACCGGGCGCACGCACACGGGUACAAAAUUCAAGACUCCCGUUACAUGUUAUUACAAGAGCACCCUAGGAAAGAAAAUCCUGGAGAAUAGUCUCCUAGCUAGUAGUAGCUACAUGCUACCCGAGAGCUGUGAGGCAACGCGCCCCUGCUGCACACCAGAGAAGGGCUUCUUCAGUUAUCGCCCUGGUUAGUUGCGUUGGGGUUUUUUCCGUCGCCCUAGCGAAGACUCGAUCGUUCCUUUCCUUCCAAAUCUUCCAAGAGACCAACAUGAAAGUUGAAUCAAGGCCUCUUGUCCUGAUGGUGUUGAGUCUGCUUCGCUUCUGUAUCCACCAUUCCAUCAGAGAGUCAUUCAGGGCCGGUGGGACGUUCUGAAUGCCUAUUAUUUAGCUGACGGCCAACCACACCUGUUGAGUGUAGGUGCAUCGUGCAAGGAGGUGGUCUGCCGUUUCAGGCUCCUGUCCACAGAGUGCACAAUCGUCGCUAUUCUGGAGCAAAUCGUCAUCUCGAAAGAUAAACAUUACAUAAGCAGUGGCAAAACCUACAUGCUAGGAGGAAGUGUAUUGGUAUCACAUGAGAACUGAGUGAUUACUGUUUUUGGAUAAAUAAUACUGCCUGCGGUCAUUAAAACUUGUGAUUCGAAGACAUUGCUGCGCCAACAUCUCGCUGGAUGCGCCUAUCUAGCGGUUCAGUUCUACUGCCUCCUUUCUGACUAAUGUCCUAGUGGUUGCUUCGUACUCGCAUUAUCUCGGAUCGAUAGGUUCAGAUGGACUCUACAAAGCCUUUUCAUUUCCUCCUGUCGAAGAACAGAAUCGAAUGUGUGGUGGAAGUUUUGACUUGCCUGCUAUUUCUGAUCAGUCUCUCUGUUGGCUAUUGCAUAUGUUCUAGUACUGUCUUGAUCAAAAGUGUCUACUAUUUAGUCUAGCUCUCUUAUCUGCUUGCAUGAGCUGAGUGCUUGUCACAUAUGCUCAGUACAUGCAAGUGGUGGUAGCAUGAUUACCACCAUUUGUAAUCAUGUACUGAGCAUAUGUGACAGUUGUGUCAACUCAACGGCUUGACUGCUAUCACCUGGAUUCCUCAGGACAUGGUUUGGCAUGGCCUCUGUCCCUCGUCAGAGUAAGUUCACAGAAUGGCAUGCAGGCAAUUGCUAUAAUAAACGUGUUAAGAUUUGUCAUCAAAAGUUAGAUCAGGGCAAGAAAAUGAUGCGAACUGAACCCUUGCCUCCCACCGUUGGGUGUUGGCCGAAAAAAUAGGAGACAGUGUCACAAAACAAUGCAAAAAAUAACACAAUGUCAUUACAGAAUAACUUCCCAUGACAUUCACUGCAGAACUCCUAUAACAAGUUACCUUGCCUUGCUAUGACAAAUUAUGCUCAAAACAGCACAAAUGUUUACCAACACACAUGUUUCAGGUCAGCACCAUUUUUGCCAGCUCAUGUACUGAAGAACGCAGAACACAUUCUGGAACUGAACUUGCUAUUCCUCUGUCAAAGUUCAUACAUGAAACCAAGCAACAAGCAUAGUCGGAGUAUACUCUAGCAUAUGAUAAAUAAAAUUUGCAUCCUGGUGAGAAGUAAGAUUUAAGAGUUUGUUACAACCAUAUCUUUUGGAGAAAGCUAAGACGACGUGCCGGACACAUGCCACAAUCAGUACCAGAAUUUUUCAGAGACAAACACGUGGCAACCGUUCAAUGAGUGCAUCCAACUUAGAAUAAAAUGUUCACUUCAUCUUCAUGCAAGCCGACCAAUGCAGAGAUAUAGUAAGAUGUAAGCAUGCAACCAGCCUACACAAAUUGAAUUGCACUGAACAUUCAUGACAUAUUUUUUUUCGAGAACGUGCAACGCACGUAUUUCAUUAAGAGAAGGGGAAGCGACCCAAAACGAAACACAGUACCGAAUUACAGCGAGCUGGCUAUCACCUGGGCACAAGUUUGCGACCCCACCAGCAUGCAAGAAAGAAAGAGCUAAAGAAAAAGAGUACAAGGGCGAGCAGCACCCCAUCAAAGUUCAGUCUACGUUCAUUAGCCAUUGUGAACAUUUGCGACUAGUCCGGCGUUGCACCACCAUCCCAGUUCUUCACGGAUCCUGUCAGCCAGCUGCAACGGCUGCCUUGUGGUUGUUCUGAAGAUCCUGUCAUUCAUUUCAUUCCAAAGUCGCCAGGAUGUCAGCGCGAAGAGAGAAUCCAACCUUCUUCUAGACGAUUUGUCAAUACGUUUCCUUGCCGACAGCCACCAAACAAUGGUGGUGGAUUGGGCUUCUGGGGUGAACACCUGCCAUCCCAACAUUCAUGACAUACAUUUCAGAAUAAUUAUAUAUGCAGCCCACGCGAGCAGAUCAUCACUACUUGCCAGAACACCUUGAUCAAGUGUAGUAGAAGACUUCAUCCAGGACAAAAAAAAGAGAGAAAGGGGUCGGUAAUGCAUAUAACGGAAUACUGCAGCACAAGUAUAAUCUUAUGGCAGGUUGCAAUCAGUGUCAAGUGUCAACCCACAUGAUGACUAUAUAUGUAUACAAGAAAACAGAACAAACAGAGAAGUUCUCAUGCCAUGCUGCAUUUGUGUUGAAUUUCUUUACCUAGCUGCCCCUCAUAUUAAAAUACAAUGAUCAAUUUGUGCUUAAGGCAGCAAUGCAACAUACGUAUUCCAAGUUGACACAAGUUUUGGUUUGCUCUCCAUUCAUCUUCUGGAGAAUACAGAACAUAUUCUGGGUUUGGAAUGCUUUCCCCCAAGUUCAAUUAAUAACUGAAGCAAGUUUGCACGACUUGUGCUAAAAAAUAAUGACAAGACUAGAUCCUUAUCCAUUACACCCCUGCUGAUGAUUAAGAGCUUAGUUGCUACAGAACCAGUUAAGAGAGAAGCAAGGCUUGCUUGUAUGAUAGACAUGGCAAAACCAUCACCACAAUACUCCUAUUGUUAACUGGAACUGAACUAUCACAGCCUGCAACUUAAAUCAACUUAGAUCUGAACAGGAGCACCAAGUUCAUGAUAAAAGUGUUCAGUGCAACAUCAUAUAAGCAGAACUGCAGAGAUUGAGCAAUCAUGCUGCAUUGCUGCAACCAAUCGCACAAAAAUAAUCAACUGAACAACAUGUCAUUCAUUUUGGGAGUGGAAAACACUUCAUGCAAGCGGAUCAAGAGUGCUAGCUAGUUGUGCAUGGACAUUCUGUCCUAAAUUCCAAUGCAAAACGGCAUUCGAGAUUGAAAAUCAAUGACUAAAAAAGAAGCAGGGUUUUUUUUUUACCUCCAUCGUGCAGAGGCAUUUGAAAUUCGAAAACUAAAAACUUUUUUGCCACAAUCGUAUAGAGGCAUUCCAAAUGGAGGAGGGAAAAGGCGUAAAGCCAAACAACCAGACCAUUUCACCUAUACUACUCGACUAUAAAAUAAUAGCCUCCCCACCCACCUAGCCCAUCCUCAUCUAGUCAUCUGAGUUUCUGACGCUUGCGCUUCCUUUGCUAGUAGUAGCAGCGAGUUGCCACAGCCCACAGCCGAGAGCCAACAAUGAAUCAAGCGCAGAUUGCCGCCACCAUCGCCCUCGCCGCCGGUGCCGGAACUGCAGAUGUCGAGGCUGCCGCCGUCGCUGCUGGAACCGCAGACGCUGCCGUCGUCACCCAAGCUCUUACCACCGCACGAACUUUAGCUGCUAAGCAACUUGGUAAGCUGUUGGUUCCUUCCUGAAAUGAGAUCCUGAUUUGGUUGCUCGUUCUUUCUGUUGUUCCUCUUGAUUCGGGUUUUUUUUUGCUUCUGAUCUGUUGUUCCUCUUGUUUGGGGUUUAACUACUUGUCGUUCUUUCAAAGUUCUUGACUUGGUGGGGUUUUCUUCAAAACGGUCCUGAAUCCAUUGUUUUUUGGUGAAGUUUUGUUCUUUUCUAGACCAAGUCUGUCCUCAAUCCUCUUCAGGUCGUGCUCAUGCUCAUGCUAUACCCAUGUGUGAUCGCCUUCACCUUAGCUACCCGCUACACAAAGUAUGGUCUGCUCAUACCUACCCCCAACAUGCCCGGCGCCGCCCCUCCCUCCCUUGAGCUUGCCUGUUCCCGGCAGAACUAGUGGCUGACCACUUCCCAGGAAGCCCUCUGGUUUCACCGGAAUCUUUUUCAACACCGUCACCAUGAUUCACAUCUUCUUGGUGAUUUACAUAACCCUCAAAGGCCCUCGCGAGUCGCCUAGGAUGUCGCACGCCUUCGCUUGGUUUGCCAUCAAGGAUGUCGCACACCUUCGCUUGGUUUGCCCUGAUGUCAUUCUGGUUUUGUAUCGGUGUUUACUUCUUCAUGUUCACAAUCUUAGCAAGAUGAGUUGCUGUUGCAUAUACUUUUCUCUCCAUUUUCUUGUUUUUUUAUUAGGGGUCUUUGUUUUCUCGUUAGUUUACUACUAGUGAAUAAUGAUUUGUCUAUGUAGAUAUGGAGUCGCCUGGCAGGAGUGAGUGCUUUUCGCAGCAUUCACAUUGGGGCUGUUUUUUGCCACUACAACUUUCAUCUGUGUAAGUUAUUCUUUCGUAAAAAUGUUCUCAUAUUGUGAUGAAAUUGGUUGUCAUUACCGCCUUCUCACUUCCGGAUGGUAGAACCAACCUACGAUGAAGUCCAAACUCUUAUGAUCCCGGGUGAUAGAUCCAACCUUCGAUGGAUCACAACUUAUGCACUAAGUACUUAGAAACUAUAUGGCCCAACCGGAAGACUAACACUUAUAAGAAAUAGAACUUUAUUACAACACAACAAUAUUAUACAAGAGUGCACAACACCCUCUCUUUAGUGGCUAGCCUAACAUUCAUCCUUUACUUCUACCAUACUCCACUCAUCUACCAUGCUCAUGGUUGAAUGGCAUGGUAAGGAAAGGGAUCUCUAUUUAUAGGCCAAGGGAGUUCAUAGGAUGAUGACAUGUGCCUCCUUCUAGAGUUUUCACUAGAAAAAUAUCUAUAUUCUACGCUAUUCUAAUUUCUUCAUGGCAACAACAUCUAGUGGCUUCAUGAAAAAUAUCAUGGAUCAUGAGUUGUGGGGAAGACUCUAGAAGUUUGUAUUGCUUUCCUUCAACACACCCUUUUAAAUUCAUAUAUUGUAUGACUGAUACUUGCGGUGACUGUUGGGGCUAUUUUUUGCCACUGCAAUUUUCAUAAGUUAUUCUUUCACAAAAAUGUUCUCAUAUUUCUAUGAAAUUGGUUGUUAUUACCGUCUAAUUGUCGAUUUUGGUUGAUUUCCAGGCGGCCAUUUCGCUAGCGAAGGUGGUACUUCCCGCUCCUCCUGCUUUAGUGCUCGUGGAAGGAGAAGGCCAGGCGGACUAGGCAGGAAGGUGAAGGGUGAAUAUAUGGAGCCAUGAUACUUCUGUAGUAGCUGUAGUUCCUCAGUGUUAUUGGUGAACAAGAAGGUGAAUGACAUUCUGAAUAUGUAGCAGUAGUAGAGUUGGUUGAUGUUCUUUCGAGAGUAGCAGUGGUAGAGUUGGUUCUGAAUAAGUAGCAGUAGUACUCAGAUGUAGCAGUGGAACGGUGAGGAGCAAACAAUUAAGAUUCAUACUCUGUCUCUACUUGAGUGUUUUUUGAGUAGAUCAUGCCAGUCUCUUUUUUUUUCCAAUUGUAUUUUAGUGCAUUCCAUAGUUCCAUCUGGUCUAAUGGUUCCAGUGCUUGCGUCAUAAACGGCUUGCCAUCGAACUUGACAUGACAAUAAAUAUUUACAAACACAACUCGUAUCGGAGUUGGUUAUCAUAUCCCACGGGCCAACCUUCUUCUUUAGCUAAUCUUUUCUCCAGCCCACUUUAGACCCAUACUGGUCAAGCCGCUCCAGCUCCCAAUCGGCCAAUCCUUGCUGACUCCUUUUGCCAAUCGGCCAAAACACUAUAGCUUCAAUCGGCUGAUUCCCAACUGUAGCUUUUAGCUUGCCGCAUCGGCCAAUCUUUUCCUUCCUUGACGCCGAUUCAAAAUAUGUGUCAAAAUCCGGCGUCAACAGAUGCAUUCAUACAAAUAUCCUAUACUUUUAGUCUACAGUAAUGCACUACAUAAUAUAAUGGUUUGUGCGUGCGAAAGAUUCGGUGAAGCUAAAUUUUAUAAUGCAUAAGCCUACUACUAUGUUGCUCUUAUCUCUCAGUAUAACUCAAAUACAGACUAUGCAUGGUUUGCAGUUUGAAAUGAACUGGGCAGUAAACAUUUCAAUCCCUGAAUAUGCUCUGCAUAUUUUUUUUAGAUGAUGAUGUUCUGCAUCUUUCAUUACAUGAGUCGGAAACAAGUCAUGAUAUUAAAAAAAUGUGUUGCAUUCUACUAUUUUAACAAAGCUUUUGUCAUGGUAAGGUGGUUAACUGGUUACAAAAUUUCAUGCAGAAUGACAUGGCAACUGAUUUUGUUCCUUCUGAGUUUUGGAUUAAGAGACAUACAGUAUAAUUCUCCUAUCCUUUUCUCCUUUAAUUUCAUAUGGUGUGAAUGUGACAUGUGCUUUGAGUAAAUCGUAAUCUCGAAUGCUAAAACACUAUAAGUAUAUAAACAAUCACAUAGCAUACAUGAUACUAGUGAUAAUAUUGCAUUUUUCUUGGGAGGAAGUCUACUAGUACGAUUGAGAACUGACUCUGUUGAAUGGGUGUUCGCAUCAUGUGGGUGUGACACAGUCACUGCGAAAUACUAUGAGAUUAAACCUGCGUUGCCUGCAUUAAUUUUUAGCAUAAUUACAUUAGAUGAACUCUGGACGGAAUGUAUAAGGAUCCUAUCUUGUCACUUCAGUUUCAUGGAUGAAUUGAACAGAGGAUUUGAGUGUUGGGUCCCGGAGUGCGCUCGGAGAUGAUGAGUUUUAGAAACAUGGUGCUACCCUGGAACUUAUGUGUUGGACUUGUAAGUGUUGCAUUGCGUUAUUUUGAGCGUAAUUUUUGUGAUAGCAAGACGAGUAACUUGUUAUAGAAAUUCUACGGUGAAAGGCAUGAGAAAUUGCUCUGUUUCUAAACCAUGCAGUGUGUGACUGCUCUGCGGUAUGAGAAAUUGCAAAAAUGGGCCGAGAGAAGCCCAUCAGCGGCCCCAGAAAUGAAGCUCAUUUGAGUUGGGCCCACUGUUCGGAGCGAAAAAGCAAAUCCGUUCGGGAAAUGGGAUUGGCUGGUGCCAGCCAGGCAGCCAGGCCUCGUCUCGCUCCGACCCGAAGCCGUGAAGCGCGGCUGCGCGGGUUAGUAUAAAGUGGCGCCACCGCUGGCCCCGGCUCGAUCAUUCCCGUCGUGCACACCCAACCCCACCCACCCACGGCGAAGGCGCCUAGCGAAUCGAGGGUUUCGUCGUCGAGCGAGCGAGAGCGCGCGAUGGCGGCGGCGGAGGGAGAGAAGAAGGGAGCGAUGGAGGCGGAGAAGGGAGAGAAGGAAGCGAUGGCGGCGGCGAAGGGAGCGCCGGUGGAGGAGAAGGGAAAGGGAGCGGAGGCGCCCGAGGAGGAGGGGACGGGAGAGGCGGCGGUGGAGAAGGGGAAGGCAGUGGCGGAAGCGGAGGAGGCGGCCGGCGCGAAGAUGAUCACCCUGCGGAGCGCGGACGGGGAGGAGCGUUCCAUGUCGGCGGCGGCGGCGAAGCUGUCAGUGGUCCUCAGCAACAUGAUCGAGGACGACUGCGCGUACAACGUCGUCAUCCCGCUCGAACGCUCCGCCACCGUCGCGAGGACUCUGGACACGGUGAUCGAGUACUGCGUCAAGCACGCCGACGAGCCCGUCCACGACUCCAACCCCAGCACCGCGGGCGGCAGCAGCAGCGUCGUCGUCACAGCGGUGCCCGAGGACCUGGAGGAGUGGGACCGCAAGCUCGUCGAGGGCCUCAGCGCGGACGACCUGUACGACCUCCUCCUCGCCGCCAACCACCUCAGCAUCCAGGGGCUCAUCGACGUCGUCUGCCAGAGGGCCGCCGACAUGAUCAAGGGCAAGACCACCCAGCAGAUCCGCGACACCUUCAACCUCCCCAACGACCUCACCCCGGCGGACGAGGCGAAGUUGCGCCAGCAGCGCGCCUGGGUCAUCGACUAGUAGGAUUCUUCGAACCCACUUUGUGCUCUGCUCUAGCAUCUCCCUAGAUCUGCCGGCCUAGCGUGCGGCUUCGUGUUCUACCGCGUCUUUUCUCUUGACGCGCAUCGUAGUGACUGUUUCGUGGUUAUCUUUGUGUAGAACUGUAGAUAGGUCCUGAUCAACACUCGGUCUACCACUUGCUUAGUAUUUUCGUUUCGCCUUGUCGAAGAACAGAAUGGAACGUGUGGUGGAAAUUUGAACUGCUUGCCUGAAGGAUGAAGUGAAUGAAUAUCCUAUCCCGAUUUACCUGUCAUUUUUCGAUUAAUAUCAUGAAAUUGCUAUUAGUUUCUGCCCUGAAUGUGUUCUACCACCAUCGAUCGAUUGUGUUCUACCUAUUGCUACUGAUCUUCUUGCAUGAUUGACAUGAUUCUUUUGUUGCCGAAAUGCAUGACAUGUUUUGUUCAGUUCCGUACAAUUGGAAGCAGUAUGAUAGCUCAUCCUCUGCAGUUCUGCUUUUUAUUUAGUUGUAGUGAAUAUUUUGAACUGCCUGCAUGAACUGACUGAACCAUAUUCCGUGACUUUCUCUAUGUCUGACCAAUCUGUUCGACUAUUCUUGAGUCUUGAUCGAUUUGCUUGCAUGAAUAUAUAAAAUCCUGAAAUGUGUGCAAUUGGUGGUAGACUGGUAGCAUGGCUGGUGGCUCUGCAACUGGUGCCCCAUCUCUGUAGUGAUCUGCUUGCAUGAAGAUGGAGCAAGUAUUUUACCCUGAAGUUGAUUUUGUUUUUGUCUGAUAACAUUCAGUUCAACAAUAGGAAGGUUGGUCUGUAUCUCUGUCCCUGAUAUUCUGGUACUGAUCUGGCAUGUGGGCCAUACAAGCGUGUAUUGGUUCUCUACAAUAGAUUUGAAUGCAACUAACUCUUAGCACUUGAUUACACCACGUCAUGGAUAACAAUCUUGUCUUGUUCUUAUGUUUAAGUGUAAUUCAAGUUCAGACUAUGCCUGGUUUCUGAGUAUGAAUUGAACUGGGGAAUAGCAUUCCAAUCCCUGAAUGUGUUCUGAAUCUUUCAGUACAUGAGUUGGCAACAGAUCAUAAUAUUGGAAAGUAGUGUGUGUUCCAUUGUGCUGUUUUGGCAUAAUAUUGCCAUGGUGAGGCCGGGAGGUGGAGUAGUUGGCUACAGAAAUUCCUUACAGAAUGACAUGAGAACAGAUAACUGAUUCUGUGUCUUCUCCGUUGUGGAUACUGAACAUGCAGUUUCUUAUUUCUUUCUCGGUUUUUUCCCCAUCAUCUGGUGUGAAUACACAGCUCCUUGCAGCCUGCAGGAUACUAGUGAUAGCUUUCCUAGAGAGGCAGAGCUGAUAGUGCAGAGUUGACAUGGGCUAGCGAAGUCGAGAGAGAGUGCCUAACAAGGCCUGAAAAUGAACAGCCGGCAAGGCAAGGCACAAGCACGAGCGAAGAGGAACAGCAACAGCCUCUCCCAAUUCAAGUCUCACUGAAUUAUGGCACAAUUCGAUGCACAUCACGAGAUUCACAGCAAUCCACAAACGAAAUAAUCAAAUCAUCCAACAAAUCUUCAGAGGUAGUAGUAAGAGAGCAGAGGCGCGGCCACAGCGGCUACGACGGCGAACGCUGAGACCGGCGAUCGGGCUGCCGCCGACUUCGAUGCGCCUGGGCUGCUGGCGGCAGGUGCCGAUCCAGAAGCAGGUGCAGGACCUUCAACAUGGAAGCAGAGCAGUGAGACGACGAAAGAUAAGCGAAUCACACGCACAGCUUAAAGGACAAAAGGUAAUGCAUACAAGACCCAAGUUUUUCUUCAGUUCAGAACUUGUUUCAGGCGCUAAUUUCAGAUAGCAUUCCGAAUUUGGGGAUGGAAUUUUCAGUGCACAACUGAUGACUCUCCACAUCAUUUACUGAGAUCUAAUAGGCAUGCCAGUUAAGAUGGACCUGAUGGAUACAAAAUUGGCUGACACCUGGCCCAUCUCACUCUCUCCCACACCUAUAUUUUAUUUUGGCCUAGAGACGUUAGUAAUUCAGAUUACGCGUGAGUGUCCUAUUAAUUAAGAUUUUCACUUGCAGAUGACUGUCAGCGUGCCAAGACGAAAACGCAGAGCGUUCAGGCUUCAAAAAUCUGUCUGAUCUAUCAUUGUUCAUGUUUUUUUAGAAGUUGGGACCAUUUUGCUGCCAAGAAAGCUACCACUACUGUCACCAUCUAGGCACAAUUCAGCCCUAUUUUAGGCCUAAAUUUUAACAUAUGAUUAUCCCGAUCUUUGGUGUAUAACUCUGUACUGAUAUCAAUGAACCGAAAAUUGGUAACGUAGACAGGCUAAAAAAAAAAUCAAAAUGGACGCAUCAUUUUGCAAAAACUGAAAAAUUAAAAAAAGAACAGAGUAGUAUCUGUUACCUUCAGUAGGGGCGCCGGGCACUUUGACUGCAAGAAAAUAAUAAUAAAAAUUAAACCAAAAAGCUAAGAUCUGGAAAACUAAUAAAAACCAAAAUACAAUACGCAGAGUUUCACUCAUCACAAAUUAACAUACGAAAAACAAAACUAAAACGAUUUGGCCUACACAUCUUUCUUUUGAAAAAAAUGGGCUCUUGUCUCAAGGGGGGGAAAAAGAAUAAGACGAGAUCGGGUUGUGUUAGCGCUUACUGUUGCACUUGCUGAAGGCGGCCUGGUCCUCGCCGCACGCGGCGGGCAGCGUGGCGGCGCGGGUCAUGUUGAUCGCGACGGGGUACUUCUGUUGGAAUGCGGCGCAGAGGCAGGCGACGGUGGCCGGGCUCUUGAGGGCGCCCUUGACGCCGGCGCAGCACUCCAUGGCCGGCUUGCCCUGCGAGCUCCCCUGCUGCACGUACGAGAGGCACGGGAGGAGCCCCGUCACCGCCGCCCCGCAGUCCACCGAUGACGACGGGGCCGGCGCCGGCGCCUGCGACGCCGCGCCGGACGCCAGCGCGAGGACGGCCACCGCCGCGAGCAGGCCGAGGCCGAGGCGCGCCAUGUGGUUGGUUCCUUGGUUGGUGUCGCAACUAGCGGCCGCGCGAGGAGAGGGGAGGCUGGCGCUGGCUGUGGGCUAGGGAAGUGGGAGGGAGGGAGGGGCGAUAAGCGCAUAAAUUAUCGUGCAGUUCAUUCCUAACGCAUGCUGCCAUUUGUUUGGUUAUCUUGUACAGUAGGAUCAAUCAAAUGCUAGCUGUGAGAUCUCUCUCCAGCUAGCUAAGCUAAGAUCGCUUAAUCAAAUGCAGUUCAUUCCUCUCUCUCUCUAUCUCUGCGAACUGUAUCCAUAAAACUAUUCAGUGGUCAAUGCGCCACAAGCUAGUACAAUUAGAUAUAAUAGUCCUACGAAAUAGCUUGCUGAAGGCUGGAGCUGUAUAACAGUUUGUCUUGUCAGCUGGUCGAGUUGCCAUCGGAGACCAAUCUCGUAAAUAAACACAUAACAAGUAUGCAUGUGUAGAGAGAACUGGAUGCACGUCUACCAUUUUUUCUAUGUACACCUGUUGCGAAGCUGUGUCCUGAUGGAUUCAAACGCUCUGUACGUCUACAGUUGACAUGCAUGCCUUAGGUAAUCCCAAUGCGACAUUGAUGAUAGUUUCUAUGUCUAUUAAUUACCAUGACAACUCAGCUUUUUACUUAUGUGGCAAUGAAGUUAAUGUAGAGAGAGAACACACAACUAAGAAAUGGUUUCCUUCUCAGGAAACUAAGUCUUCACGGGAAUCAACGCACCAAGAAACUAGAGAAAUGGCAUUGGGGAGAAAUCACCGGUUUCCAACGGCCUCCUCUGGAUCUAGUGCGCUUGGAACAAGGAGUCCACCAGGCACCAAGCCUCCUUUACGUGCAUAGAGGAUCUGGUGCUAGAAAAGAGAAUGGUUGGUUGGAUUUUUGUUUAGACUCUAGAUAAAAAAGUUGCAUUGUGAAGGAUGAUUUCUUAAUACAAUAUCCUAGACUAUGAAAACUACGAUGAUUUCUCUCAUUGAAACUGCCCUUAUCUGUACAGGGCCACACGGCCACACCAAAGUAUCACGCAUAGAACAAUUUCCAACGGUAUCUAUUUUCUCACUGCAAGCUCAGUCUGGAAAACGGUAGGGGAGAAAACCAAUUUGUGCGAAGUUACGCGCUUGCACAUGCAGACCGCGCUUAGAAGAAAAACGUUGAGUUAAAUUUAAAGGAAAACAGUACAAUAUUUCAUUCAAAUUUCCCGUUUACCAGGUUUAUUUUUUAUUUUUUAAUAUAUUUUGGGGGAACAAAAAAAGUAAACGCAUAAAAAAUGAUUUUUACCCUCUUCGAUCAUUUUGGAGUUUUCGUAUAAUUCAUUAAUAAUUACUAACAAUAAAAAUUCAAUUUCAUUUCCUACAUAGCCCAACGACCUACAAGGUCCAAAAAGGCACAGGCCCAAACUAGCUAGCCUGAUUGCAUGCCCUUUGUUUGUCAAUGUAAAGUCACAUUUUUGUUUGAAAACAAAUUUUGAUCAAUAGAUAGUCAAAUCGUAUGCGUCUUCAUUCUUCACUCCCUUCAGUGUACAAAAGUUGCACAAAUUGAUUAUUAUUCGAACUAAAAUGCUAAGAUGAUGUUGAUUUUGUAAAAGUUGACUUUGUAGUUAUGCUAGGCAGAAGGCAUGAAAUAAAAAACCAUGCAUAUUUGGGAAAUUUGCGUCAGAAAAGGCAGUUAACCGAACCAAAUGGAAACGUUGCUUUGUGUCAAUAUCAAGACAAAUUAUCUCUACUGCCAAAUUUCCUAAUAAGCUUGUUUCCUGAUCUCCAAGAUGGAACUCCAACGAUUAAGAUAUAUUCCAACUAGUUAAACGUUUCACUGUUCAAUCAUUAGAGUAUGCUAUAUAUAAUCGUACAUGCUACCUAGUCAAACAGCCGGCCGGAUGACCGGCUCGCUAGCUAUCUGCCGGCCAUGCUCUAGACGCGAUAACCUCAAAGUGCACAUCAAUCACAAUGGUUCUCAGCACCGCAUAUUUAACCAACAAACGUUGCCUCUGCGCUCCAAGAUGAUACGGCAGCUAGAUAGAUAAGCACCCGCAUGAUGUGCUUCAGCAUUAGGCGGCAACGACGCCUCGAGGAGCGCCGCCGGGAGGAGGAGCUGAGGAGAAAGAAGACGCCAUGCUUCCGGAUCCGGAGGAACUUUGCCGCGAACGAGAUGGCCGAGCGAGAGAGGGCAGCGAUCGCGAGGGACGCCAAGGCGGCGGAGAAGGGGAAGGAGAAGAAGAGGAGGUUACAGGAGGAGGUGAGGAAGGAGCGGGAGAAGAUGAGGAAAGAAGAGGAGGAGAAGAGGGCGCGAGCUGAGAAGAAGAAGCUCAAGGAGAAGGAGCGGAAGAAGCGCGAGGAGGAGGCGAAGAAGAGGCGCGAAAAGGAAGAUACAGAGAAGAAGAGGAAAGAGGAGUUGAAGAGAAACAAGAGGGUGAAGAGAAAAUGAAACCAAGUGCCCACCGUAGCCGUAGCUAUGUUGAAUUUGAACAUUCCUCUCUUCUUAAUUCAGUGCAUGCAUGCAUACGUAUUCAUUGAUUCAGCUUUCAAGCGUAUGCGUUGGUCAUCAGCUCUUUUCAUCGCCGGACGUUGGGGCUCGCGCGUGCGAAUUCACGAUGGCGUUCUUUUCCAACUCAGGAGCCCAUAUAUGAUGGUGCAGAGUCCUCUACGAGCUGGCGCUGGCGAGCUCCUCAUGUCAGCCGCGCAACAGUUGCAACAAGAUACGUUUCAAGCUUUCAGCGGCAAAUUCUAGCUCCAGCUAAUGCAUAUCAUAAGAUGGAUUAUAAGCAGGGGAAAAGCAAUUGUCGUUUUCAUUUUUUUACACAUGGUGGGUUGUUCAGAACGCCAAAGUCAUUUGUGUUCAGUGCAUUGCCCUUGUUGCAAGUUUUUUUUUUUCGUGAAUACGAAGGAGAGCUGCGUAUCUUUGUAUUAAGAAGAUGAUGUAAAAACUUAGUAUAACGCAGGCUGUCCGGGCGCACGCACACGGUUAACAAUUUGUUAGCUAUUACAUGAGAGAUCAACAACCGUUUAGAAUAAAAACGAAGCUCAGGAUGACACUAUCCCGUUCCCUGAAUUUCUGCUGGUGCCGGCCAGCCGAGGGUGGCAAGAUGUUUGGCGCCAGCUGCUGACCAAAGAAUGGCUUCCUCGAUGAUCUGUUGUAACAGCUGCGCUGGCUGCAUAGGAGGCGCUCUGCUAAACACCCUGUUGUUGCGCUCUUUCCAAAUCUUCCAGGAUAUAAGCAUUAAGCUGGAGUCAAGUCCUUUCCUCCGUGUAGCGUUUAGGCCGUGUCUCAUCUGAAGCCACCAUUCAGUUAAACUCGUGUCUCGAUUUGGCGCCGGACUGGGAAUGUGCAGGAUGGAACUGACAAGGUACCAUAGCUGUUGUGUGUACGAGCAACGGGCGAACAGGUGGUCAGCGUCUUCUAAUUCCUGAUCACAUAAGGCGCGUGCAGUGCUGUCCUGUAAACCACGGCGAUGGCGUCUGGCAGCUGUCCACAGGCGAUCUCUGCAGGCUAGCCACAUGAAGAAGCGUACCUUCAUUGGCGCCCAGGCUUUCCAGAUCAACUUACCUGCAGGAGAGGUUUGUGAUCCAAUGAAGAAUGCUCUGUACGCAGAUCUUGCCGAAUAAACACCCGAGGGCUCCCAUCUCCAGGUGAUAACAUCCUCUAAACCAGGCCUUAACCGAAUAUGCUGCAGUUCGUGCCAAAGGUGCACAUACUGAUGGAUGGCCGGCACUGUUAACUAUCCGACAACGUCCGAAAUCCAUUUCUUAUCCUGCAUAGCUUCAGCCACCGAGCGUCUGUUUCUGAGUCUAGGCUUGACGAGGUUGCAAACAUCAGGGGCGAUGGAGCAUGGCGAUGAAUCACCAUUCCAUCUGUCAAUCCAGAAUAAGGCAAGGUUACCAUCCCCCAGCUGCACCUGGAUCGACUUGUUGCAAGUUUUGUAUGCCUGCUCAAACGUGGUGUCCUGCAUUUCUACUGCAAGCCAGUGGAAGUUUCAGUACGUGUACUACUAUAUGACUUACCGCUUACGGAUUGACUAUGCUCUUGGAUGAGAACUGUUUCAGAUUUGAGAAUCCACAGCCAGCUCGUAGCCUCCUACCCUUGGCUGUUGCAGAGUUUUUCGCUGGUUGCCUGAACAGUCGAACGAUAUAUGCUGAUGUAGUGCUAGAAACGAACUAGGAGCAAGAUCGACACGCGUGUUCUGAGGUUUAUGAUUUUUUUUUAUCUUUUUACUGUCUAACAUUUCAGUGGCCUAAUGUCCCAUGAAAACAAAAAUCUGGCUUUGAAAUUUUUGGAGCACGCAAACGCAAGGCAAAAAACAUAUCAACAGUAACCCGAGAGAAACAGAGAGAGAACCUUUCAUGGAGGAGAGAGCGCUCCUGACUUUGAGCUCGCAUCCCUCGCAGUCCAUCCUGACCUUGAGCUCCACCGUCUGCAGCUGCUUCCUCCUCGUCAUCUUGUCGUGGCCAUGGCCUCCGCUGCCUCCCAGCAGCCCCGACAGGUACUCCAAGGUGCCCCCCAUGGGAACUCAUAGGAACUCACUCUGCAACUCUGCAAGAGCAAGGCACACACCACUACCAGCAAGAAGCUCGAUCUCAAGAAUCAAGUCAAGAACUGCAGAGCACGCGCGCGCGCCAAGAACUGCAGAGCACGCGCGCGCGCGCGCGCACACACACACACACACACACAGAGAGAGAGAGAGAGAGAGAGAGAGAGAGAGAGAGAGAGAGAGAGAGAGAGAGAGAGAGAGAGAGAGCCCUUGGAAGCUACUGUCUAUCCCUAUGGCCUCUGCCUGUCACUGAUCUGUCUGAGCUGCUCAGCUGCAUGCCAACCCUACUAGCUGUGUGCAGGCAGGGCACUCUCUCCUGUCCAACAGGCCUUUAGGAAAAGCAGAUGGGCAGGGGCAAAUGCAGAAAGCUACCAAGAAACACGCACCAAGGGAACGUUCGUUGUUGGGUCAGGCCGGUGAUCUCUGGACCACGCCCCGCAUUGUAAAAUCGGUCAUUCAGGUGUUUUUUUUCCUUUUCCUUUUGAAAUGAACAGCGUUCAGGUGAGGGGGAGCAACCAUCCAAACAAGAAAUGCACUCUUUGGUAAGUGUCACACACAUAUGCUGCGAAUCAAAUACCUGCACAACGGCUGUUACUUGGAUCAGUUAAAACGGCGAGCGAUCAAAUUCCGACAAGCUGAAUGAACAUCUGGCCUAGGUAGGGGACGCCAACCAACCGUGAUGGCGACACAAGCUAAGAUCAUCGUGCCCACCAAGAGAUCUCUCGCAUUGCAAUUGUCGUUGGGCUUGGACGUUGGACCCCCCAACAAUACAUGGUGGAAUUUUACAUCAGCGGUAGGAAUUAUUAGAAGAAACCGCUGCCAUCACGACGCACCAAAAGAAAAACAAUCUGUGGGAAAUUAACGGUGGCUGAUUCAGUGAAGGAAGAGGAGCUGAGUAGGAACAGAAAGAGGAUGGACUGGUGUGCAUAUAUUUUCUUGAGGCGAAAGAUGAUCGAAUCUUAAUCGAUUUUAACUCCUACUUAUAUCCGGCGGUCAAAGGAGGAAGGUAACCAGGUAAGGCAAAUUCUCCAUGAUUUUGCAAGUGUUUUAUUCAAAUUUAUACGAUUUAUUAGUUCAUGUCUCUUUACUUCGCAGAUGAUUCAUAAAUUGAGCAUGGCAGAACCAUGCCUGUUUGACGGUGGCUGACUUGGUCAGACAACUGUUGUGUCAAUUUUCAAGUGUUGUUAACUGAUGAUGCCAGUUCUUAUACAUAAAACGAAGUAUUCUUUGGCUAUAAAAUUUGUUUCAAAUGAAAACAUCAGAAAAACAAAUGCAAAACAUAAGUUCCGUUCAGGAAAAAGUGUAUGAAAACAUCACUUCUGUUCGAAAAAGAGCGAACGCAUGGGCAGAAAUAUUCGAAUCCCAUCUUCGGUAAAGUAGGUACAAGCAAAAUCAAUCAGCCAGCAUUGACCUCAGUAGUCGAAAAUUUCUAGUGGUCACGGAACCACUAAUGGUGAUCAUCAAUACGUUGGAGAUGUCUGUGUGCCCACUGUCCAGUGCUCAUCAACAGCUGAACAGCAAUUGCAGUUGUUGCAACUUGAAAGCUCCAUCGAAGUACAAGUACAAAACAACAUUACAAGCAACUACAUCACGAAGUCGAUACCAUAAACUGUCAGGUAUGUCAUAGUCAACCUCCAACAAGAAGGCCACCAGAGGUAAAUAACGAUGAAACGCUAUUCCACGGCAAAAACACAGCAUUAAUCAAACAGCAACGCUAUUUUUAACAGUCCUCAGCCAGAAGAGUUAACAUAUAACAAAAGAUUGGCUUGCAACAUUGCAUUCCUAUGGCCUAUGGCUUUCAGAAGCACUUAAUUGAUCAACAAUACUAUGCUUGAAGUACUACUAUAUCCACACAUGGUUACACUGGUAAAUAAGGAACUGACAAGUUUGUACCAGAGGUGAAUCCUCAGAGUUUCAAAGGCAAGCUAUACGGUCAGUGUCAUAGAUCACAGCUGCUAGUGCACGUUACAAACCACUCAAAACUUUCUUUUCUUGUGAACAGGCAAAAUGUCCGUGUCAUUGAAUUAAGAGAGAACACGGUGCCGCGGCGCACCUAGGGCAGCUCAUGCUAGGCGGGGUACAGACAUGAAAACUUGCAACGAAACAUAUCAAAGCCUACUACAGAAGAUAACAACAAAUUAAAUGAUGCAAAAUAGGCCAGUUUUCCCCCUACUUCCAAGAAUUGACUUCUAUAAAUUCUACAUUACAGUUGAGAACUGGCAGAUCAAAUAUGGCUGCGGAGAUGAUUGCUGAUAUUCACGCACCAAAUCUACCUUCAGCAUGUGAUGUUUUCUAGCUUAUAAAGCAUGCAGUGAGAAUUUACAAGCGAUACCACAUGAUUUAACUUUUCCAUUUUAUUCACAAAAUACAUAUACCAAGAGUUUUAUUUGCAUAAAUAUUACUCAUGCAACCAAUUGAAUCAAAUACAUAGACGCCUACAACUCUCAUCAAGGGAAAUUAAAACAACUUGGAAAAUGUGUUUGGUUAGCCAUUUCCCAACUACAAAAAGAAUCACCUCAGCAAUUGAUUUUGAACAAGAACCUUGCAGGCCAGUAUUCUAUAAUUCUGUCAUAAACCAUCCAGGAAUAAUCAUCAUGUGAUUAAACAAAAGCGAACCAUGAAAGGUCAGUACCGUCACACAGCAGCACCUUCAUCAAUUACUACAGCACCAUAAUGAUCAAUGUCUCCAUUCUCACCUUUACCAAAUACAAAACCUUCAUGUAAUCUUUGGACAGAAUUUUUCAAAAACUGUUAUGAAACUAUAAACUUCUGGUGCACCCAUGGUAUCAGAUAUCUUCAACUCAAUGCACCAGUUGUAUGUCAUAAAGAUGACUUCAUUCUUUAUACCUUCAACCCCAAAGGGCCAAACAAAGUCAGCGAACCAGACCACGUCACAGAUGCCAAAGAACAAUUGAACAUGUGAAUGUCGAAAAUCACAAUUCAUUUCAAGCUAACCUUUGAACAACUGUUUUCAUCAUCAGGCUAACCUUAAACAAUCGUUUUCAAACAACACAUGAAAUGGACGGAACCUAUGACGGGUACCUGACAGAACAUAAGCUUUACCUUUAAUAAUACAAUCACAAAUAGUGUCAUGGACCAAAACAAAGAGAAUGGAGGCAUUUCACUUGAGCACCACUCGAAAUGAACAAAUAAUUCAAACUAGCAUAUUCUAGUCACCUUAUACAGUAACACCAACAACAACUACACAAGGCUGGCUGUUCAAACCAAUCCAGGCUAGUAAUAUAAAGCAUAGUGCAGGAAGAACUUAUGGUGUGAUUCCGGAAAAAUCUAUCACUCAUAUCAGUGAUUAAGCUUGAGGUUGGACAAAAGCUACAAGAACGCAAUACCCCUGCCCGACCGCUGCAAUCCCAUCAAAUUCCAAUUCGAAACAAAUAAGGCGCACGCGUACGUUGCAUCGUCUAAGAACACUAGGAACAAAAGAGGGGACACCUUGGUGGGAUCACUCGAGUGAUACGGCGGCGCCGGCGGCCUUGAGCUUGGCCGCGAGCGCCUCGGCCUCCUCCUUGGGCAACCCCGUGCGAACCACGACGGGCGCCUUCUCCACCAGCUCCUUCGCCUCCUUCAGACCCAGGUCCGUCACCGCGCGCACCUCCUUGAUGAUCUUGAUCUUCGCCGCGGCCUCGUACUUCUCGAUCUUCACGUCGAACGCCGUCUUCACCGCCGCGGCGGCCUCCUCGGCUCCCGCGGAAGCGUCCCCGGCCCCGGCCGGAGAGGCGGAGCUUGAGGCGCAGGAGUGCGGCGUAGUCGUCCAGCUCGGCUGGGGAGAGGGCGAGGAGCUUGUCCGCGAUCCGCGACAGCUUAGGGUGCUCGCCGGCGGCGGAGGCGGGGGACCAGUUGUGCCAAUUUGGAGAAGAAGAGUGGCAUUUUGGUAAUUACUGGGAAUCACGUGGGGGGUUGUUUACCGUCCGGGGAACGUUGUGCAAACCAUCUACCCUAUACAAUGUUGGAAACUAUGAAUCAAGAUCACAAGAUGCUAAUCCAAUGAAUAGGAUUAGAAGUAAGAUUAUUUUGCGCUUAAACCUCCCACCCACCAGCCAACCAAUACCCUGCAGCCAGGUGUCUGUUUCCCCUAACCCCUUCACCCCUAACCCCCUUGCCCCUUGCCCCAUCGCGAGUAGCCCGCCGCUGCUCUUGAGAAUCGCGUAAUCCAUCACCGUCCGUCCGUCCUUGGUGCGUCGCCGUCCUAGUGUGCUCGCCGCCGCCCCGCCGCCCGUGGCCCUCCGCUUCCCUGGUGAGGGCGCCGCCGCCCACUGCCCACCUUUUACUCACGAUGGAAGGGCAGGGAAAAUGGAUGCUUGGCUGCACGGGGUAUUGGAAAUAGUGGCCGGCGGGUGGGGGAGCUUAAGCGCAAAAUAAUCUUAUCUCUAAACCUAUCUAUUGGAUUAGCAUCUUGUGGCUUUAAUUUAUAGUUUUCAAGGUUGCACAGGGUAGAUGGUUUAUACCAGAUACAUUCCGUUUCGAGCCCGUGUGGAAGACGGGGCUUAUAGGAGGACAAGAGAUGCCAAGUUUCAAAUACGCUUACUAACAGUGAAAGCGUAUUCCAUUUUGCCCGUCACGGCCGGAGGCGUUCACACUGAUGCGCAUGCGUGCUCCCCACUUGUCAGUGGGUAACCCCUUGCCGCUUGGGCUUGCCUGUUCUCCAUUUCCAAUGACCCCCCCACCGCCACUAGCUUUCUGAUUACUGGGCGCCACACCCGGUGCAAGCGCAAACAGCACGCCUUCUGUUCUUGCUGUCGCUCUCCCCCGGGGCAAAGCAUAAACCUCAGUGGCCUCGUAGAAAUCGAAAUCGGAAUCGGAAUCCGACGCGAGUGGUCGCGCGGAUUCACGAGAGCGCGACGGCUCGAUUAUUCUCUCGCAGUCCCCGAUCCCCCAUCCUCGUUGCUGUUUUUUUUGCUUUUGGGAUUUUUCCGGAAUUUUUUCGGUGUUUUUUUGGUUGUUUCGUUUCAGAAUUUUUUUGUGAGCAUGAAACCGGUAGCCCUCCUUGUUAUCAACAGCCAUUUGAGAAGUUGAAAUCUUAUGUUCUUGGGUUGUAGAGAUUAUUUACUAUAACGCAUUCCAAAAAAAUUCUGAUAUUGGCUCAGAACUAGUGAAACUUAAGUUCAGUAUUGUUUCAGGUACAUGCUACAUUUCAUCAAUAUUGCAGUUCAUAUCCUAUCUGCACCUGCUCUUCAUGUAUCAGGCUUUAAGGUAAGAUCCAAUUCACUGCCUGAAUCCUGCAUUGGAGUAAUUGCAAUACCAGAUUAGGAAACAUCAAUUGCUUAGUCCUGUCAGUUUAAUAGCACGUAUCUUCACCUGUCCUUUUUAUGUAAAUAGUGUGCAUGUGUAUUCUGCAAGUUGUACAGGUUUAGAUGUGUUGUGCAUGAGUAGCACCUUGAAGGCUACCAAGUUGGUUCAUUGGCUAACAUAUUUGUAACGUGAUGUAUUAGGGUUCAUGCUCACAAAUUUGGCAGCGAAGUUCUUACUGGAGUACACGACAGUCCCAGAGGUAUUGUAUCUAGUAAAAGCAGCAGCUCUCUAUCGUGAACAUAUAAGACCUUUACUAACAUGACAUUUUUCCUUCUUUUCAGCAAAGUUUACCCACUUUUCAUACCUAGGAAAAAUGUAUGCACAGGUGGUGAGGAAAGUUCAUUGACAGAAAGUGGCUCGGCUAACUUUGGUGUCGACUCUAUCGAUUCUGUCAAGAAACACUCUUUUGAUUCGAAGAGAAGCAAUAGCUUCAACUUUUCUGGUGCAUCUUCCCACUCCAUGGAAAGGCAUCAAUAUUUGCAAAGAGGAAUAUCACUAUUAAAGACAAGUGUUACUGCCAUUACUACCUACUAUUAUAACUCACUGGGCUUGGAUGUGCCAUCCAAUCUAUCUACUUUUGAGGCGUUUGCAAAGUUGCUCCAUAUGUUAUCGUCGUCAAAGGCCCUUCGAGCUGCUCUAGAAUCGAACAUUGCUUCAAGGUAGCGUAUGCUGUUUCAUAGUAAUGCAUUCUGUGAUCCCAUAUCCUUGGUUGUCGAAAGGGGGUAAAAAAACUAUGUCUGCUGCUUCCAGGUCAGAGAAGCAAGCACAGCAGCUAAACAAAUCUAUUUGGAAGGCAAGCUCGGCCAUAUCAUCUGACAGCAGUUUUAUGGACAGCAUUCACACAACCAUCAUGGUAAAUUCCUGGUUUGCUCUUACCGUCUUACGUACAUUUUUGCAUGUAAACUUCAAUUUGAUUUUGAUAGUAUCUGUCUUCUUACCAGCCAAGCACUCUGGAUAACCUCCUUCUGAACUCAAAUAAGAGCUUCUUGUACACCAGUAAGCUGGUGAAGCACGGUGGCGUGCCAGACAACAUCUUGGAUGAGGUCCUACCGCCACCGCCCUCGGAGGUUGAAAAUGUCGCGCAGUGGGAAAGAGCCAUGUAUGCUGAUGGUGGUACCAAAAAGAAAUGACUUAUAUUUACAACUCUCUGAAGACCAAACUGAUACAACACUGCAAGAGCUUCAGUUAGAUAUGUGCACCUGACCAGGUUCGGGUUCAGUACUGAACGAAGCUCACCGUGUGGCUGAGUCAUCCACACUGUAGACUGCAGAAGGGCAUUUUAGGAUAGGGUUGAUCUGCUGAAUAUGUACAUGUUCAUCCCUGUAAAUUGUAAAUAUAAGUUUAUAUCGUUUAUUACAAAGGUAAUAAAAUGCCUGAUUGUUGGUUGAUAUUUCUUCCUGCAAGUGAAAAGCAAUUCUUUUACAUAUGCUGCAAGAAUGCAUCGGUGCAACCAACACAUGAACAGAAAAGAAGUGAAAUUCAGUAACAUUUUGUGGAGGCCAGUAAAGCACCAAUUGCUUAUGCACUGCAAAGAGCGGAUCACAAAUAUUAUUUUUCCUUGAAGAUUUAUGUAUUCCUUUGUCUUAUAGCACAACCCAGUAUUUAGCCGAUUCUCCAUGCAUAAAUAUGUGGCAUUGCAAAUGAAUUUUCUUAUCCUGAGCUGCAGUUGUAUAGUUUGUGUGUAUAUCUAGCGCCGCAGUGGUAGUGCAUCAGAGUUUCUCGCCUUGUGGUGGAUUAAUGAUCAGAUUCUUCCAUUCAUGUUUUAACCUACAUAAAUACUUUAAGUAUCUUGUUAAAGCCUACUGCCUGGAGAAUAUGCACUAGUAUAUAAACUGAAGGCUAAUCAAAAUACUCCUGGCAAGUGAAGUCUGUGGCUAGCUGUGGUUUACCGACAGCUAAACCAAUCAAUUAGGGGCAGGAAUUAGUGUCAUAGGAAUAUAGGUGCAGCUACCUUUUUGUGGAUUGAUGCUAUUUCUCACACAGUAAGUGAAUAAAAAAUAUCUUCGUUUAUUCCAUCUGAUUAUGCCAUUCCAUUACAGUUUAUGAUGGCAAGGGAACCCUUGAGGAAGGGGAAACUGCUGAAGCCCGGUUCAUCAAAAUCCAAGCAGCAUAUGAGCUGUUGAUUGAUGAUGAAAGGAGAAGAGCAUAUGAUAGAGAGCAUCAUGUGAAUCCAAUGAAGGUCUGAAUUUCCUUGCCUCACUUAUUUAUCCUUUCAUUACAUGCUCCUAUCAUUUCGUGUUCGAGAAAAUUUUUCUUUGUGUUCGAGAAGAAAAUAUACCAUGUUGUUUGAAAGUGGCAUUCCUGCUGUUCUGAAAACCGUUCUCUCUUUGAACCAGGCUUCUCAAGCAUGGAUGGAGUGGGUAAUGAAGAAGCGAAAAGCUUUCGACCAACGUGGUGACAUGGCUGUGGCUGCCUGGGCUGAGCAGCAGCAACGCGAAAUGACACUACGAGCACGGCCUCUUACGCUCAAAGGUGAGCACGGCCGCUGUUUCUGCUCGUCUGCUCCUGUGCGAUACUAGUUAUGCUUUGCAUGCCAUACGAUAAUUGCUUGAUCCCUAGCAUUUUUUUUAGAACGUUGACUAGUUCUUGGCACUUGCAAUUGCUUGAUCCUUAGGAAUUUUUUAGAACAUCGAUGAGUUCUCAAGCAUCACAAGAUCGCAGAAGUCCCAGUCUUUACGCACCCAAGGUAAAACAAAAGCAGCAAUGUGAUGCUUGUCGACGGGCCAUGGGGGUGCCGUCGUAGUCGAACCACAAGGAACAACGAUCUGCUUCCCCUCGCGGCGAGCACCGACCCGGGUUCGUCUGGCAGAGGUAGCGGCCAUCGAUUUCAGACCGAGACACAUAUCCCUUCUCAGAUACUAGUAGCUUUCCGUUUUUGGAUGUACGGCUCCGCGGGCACGCAACCCUCGGCUGUUGUUUUCUCUUUCCGCGCAUUUUCUUUACCACGCGCCAUGAGCUUCGUCCAGCGUCCCAUAGACCUAUUUUCUUUAUUUUUGUUGAAUUCUCUUUUGCUGGCAAAUCAUUUGGGGGUUGGGUGAGGGGGAGUAAAAUUGGGUGGUAAAAGCUAGUUUCAACAGGAAAAUAUAUAUACUUAUAUACAAAAAUUACUCAGAAAAGCAUUCAAGCUAACAAAAAAUGUAUAUCCAAGUUGUUAUAUAUAACUUUGAACCUCCUUUCUCUUUCAUAAAAUACUGAUCUCAAUUCUUGCUCGACCUGGGCAUAGGCACCUGUCAUUUCAAAUUCGCCCUGCAAAUUACGUCAGUAGGCAGUAGUUGUAUAUAAUAUAUGAAAAAAUAGUCAUGUAAAGUUAUAUCCCUAAGUUUGACAUACCCAAUAACUUAUGCACAUAAAUAUAGAUAAAAAAAUCACUUGCCUCACUUAAUGAAAUAAUCAAAAUUUAUCCCAUACCUUAUGCACAAAAUAUAUAAAACAAUUCUCUCAAUUUAACUUAUUGACGUGAACAGAAUUUAUCUACAUAACUUAUGCACACAAAAAAUAUGCAAUAAUCUCUCGACAUAACUUGUUGAUAUGAGCAAAAUUUAUCUGCCUAUCUUAUGCAAAAAAAAAUAUGUGUAAUAAUCUUUAAGCCUAACUUUUUAACAUGAUAAAAAUAUGUCAAAAAUGUUGUGAAAACAACCAUUCUUACGCAAACUUAUCAACAUGACUAAUAAUUUAUAUGUAUUACUUAUACGCAAAAAAAUAUAAAAUUAUCUAUUUCCAUAACUUGUCGACAUAUACAAAAUUAUGAGCACGACUUAUGCGCAAAAAUAUGUAUAUCCAAUAGUUUUAUCUCAUCCUUAUUGAUAUGGUGCAAUUUGUCCACAUAAUUUAUCACAAAAAGUUAUAUGCAAUUAUUUAACAACAUAAAACAAAAUCUUGAGGCCAAAACUUACCUAAAUUGCUAUGAAACAAUGUUAUUAUGUUACUGACGCAGCUUAUGUAUAGGGUUUAGGGUGCACACGACGAAAUCGCUUUUGCCAAAUUCAGUUUGCAAAGUGCUCCCCUGAAGCACAUGGCCCGUCCAGGCGUCCAGCCGUGCACCCGCUUCCAGCGAUGCGGCACCCCCUUGAGCCCACGCGGCCUGCGAGUUCUGCCGCGUGCGAUGCGCACACAGCACAAAUGUCUAGUCCGCAGUCCCACAUCCAUCCCCGGAAAUCCCACGGCGGCAGCCCGCAGCCCCGCCGCGCACGCGCUCGGUGCUUCACACCACCGACAUCUCCCCGCAGCUGGAUUGGAUUACAUGCAUGCCACUGCCAGCACGAGACCGCCGCUGCUACCUCCCACCGCGAUCCCCGCCCCCGCGCGUCGCUGACCACUGACCCCACCCCCACCUGGUUCCACGCGCUAUUGACCUAUGUGCGUGCGGGUGGACGCGCCUUAUUUUUAGGAGCGAGUGCCCACCGAAAACAGGCCAUGGCACCGGCACGGCAGAUCCUUUCUCCAUCCGCUGGUGAAACUGAAAGGAAUCCCCUCACGCCCCCUUCGCCAUCUAUAGCUCAAGCCCCACCUCCCGAUCUCCGGUCCCCCGCCCAUUAACGGCCCGGCACACCCACGCCCGUUCCAUCUCCGCCCCCAUCCCAUUCCACCCCACCCCACCUCCCGCGCCCAUCAUGUCACCAGCGCCGCUGCUGCCGUUGGCGGGGGAGCCAUUCCGCGUGUUCGUGGGGUACAACCCGCGGUGUUCAUGCAAAGAUCAACACAAGAACUGGGAGAAGUGCUGCAAAGGGAUCACCAACCUUUCAGUGCAGAGCGUCGACUUUCGUUGACGCCAGCGUCCGGCUUGAGCUUGACGAGAACCCUGAGGCGAUCAUCUCAGGCGAGUGGCCUGAGAACUCCUUCCUUCUCAGCUACGAUGAUCUCCGUGCCUACCUUGAGUCACAGGAGGCUGUCCAAGAAGGAGAUCAGGUACUUGAUCUGGAACUCUUAAAGCUGUCAUUGUUAUCUGUC
rnacentral:lncRNA from 1 species